rnacentral:lncRNA from 1 species
ACCAACAGAACGACCAAAGUAAAAAUAUUACCUUUCUAUUUAAUCCAAUCUCGAGUUCAUACAAGAGCCUCAAUUGUUUUGAUAUUUAAUGUGCUCCAUUGCUUAUGAAUCAUAUUUCCCUCACUGCUCAACGCAGCUUCACAAUUAACAGCACAAGCUGGCAUUGCCAGGACAUCAGGUGCCAUAAUUGACAGGGUUAGAUACUUUGUAGAAUUACUCAUCCACCAGUUCAGAAUAUCGAAAUCGUCCUUUCUCGGGACAAGACCAUCUUCAAGGUAGUUGUCAAGUUCUGUCAUUAGUUGACUCCUUGUCUGUGCAUUAAGAUGCUCAUCCCAAUCUUCCAAUGAAUCACUAUCAAAUCCAUCAAACUCAACAAUACGAGCUUCACGAGUUGAUGUGUCAAACCCUGACUUCUCUAAAGGACCACAAUAUUCAUGGAACAGCACCCUUAUUGCAUCACGCACGGCAGAUACAUACUUCUCUGCAUCAGUACCAAAAGCUCGCUUUAGAUGGAACUCAAUAAAAGUAAUUUUGAAUCUCGGAUCAAGAACAACAGGUAUUGACAACCACACGUAUGAACUUUGCCAAUACUCAUUGAAAGUUUCUUGCAUCACCCAAACCAUGUUAGCAAGUUCAGUGUGAUCAGAGGAUGCUUCUUCUUGCAAUGUUGUUCUAACUUUCCAUAGUUCAUUGAAGUAUAUAUUUGCUGUGGAGCAAACAGGACUAGAAAUUACUUCAACAGCAUGAUAAAAAGCCCUCAGUAUCCUGCAAACAGAUUCCACAGUUUUAGUAUCUUCUGCAGAUAACAAUUCUUCCGAGGGGAAUGCCUUCUUGAAAUGCAGAAAAACUUCAAGCCUGAAGUAAAUUUUAUGCCACCAUUUCGCAUCCUCCUGUGGGCACUUCAAUCCAAUAUGUGUAACAACUUCUAAUAUCUCUUACCAUGGAGAAAUAGUUGCGGAGAAGGAUCUGGGAAGUUUCCUUUUGUCAUAGUUUCAAUAUAUAUUGAUCCUAUUGUUUUCCGGCCAUAUCCAACCGCCCAACGUCAUGUCCCAGCCGAACAACGUCAUGUGCCACCUAGAAGGCCUUGGUCGUUGCAUCUUCGCAUCCCCUUGGCUGUGUUUGGAUCCUGGAGCUAAAAUUUAGUCCGUGUCACAUCGGAUAUUCGGAUGCUAAUUAGGAGGACUAAAUAUGAGCUAAUUACAAAACUAAUUGCAGAACCCCUAGGCUAAAUCACGAGACGAAUCUAUUAAGCCUAAUUAAUCCAUCAUUAGCGAAUGUUUACUGUAGCACCUUAUUGUCAAAUCAUGGACUAAUUAGGCUUAAUAGAUUUGUCUCGCGAUUUAGCCUAGGGAUUGUGAAAUUGGUUUUGUAAUUAGCCUAUGUUUAAUACUCCUAAUUAGUGUCGAAACAUUCGAUGUGACAGGAGCUAAAAUUUGCCCGGGAUCCAAAUCAAGGACGGUCCACAGUCAAACUGCAUCCCCCUUUGUCGUUGCAGCUUUGCAUCCCCUUUUGUUUUGUCCUACUCGCUCCAGUCUCCAUCAUGUCCUACUUGCAUCCCCCUUUUGUUUUGCAAGCGGCAAGCCUCCAGCGUCGCUCCAGUUCCCUCCUGUCUUCCGGUCCAACUCAACUCUUGCCUUUCCCUGCUGCUGCUCUAUUUAACAGGGAGUCGCGCAGCGCCGACGCCAAUGCCAAUGAGCCUUACUCGGGGCAGCAGCAGGGCGAUGUACACCGGCCUGAUCAUCCUGUUGCUCGCUGUCGGCGCAGGCAUCAACUUCGGCGACUGCGACGGAUUAUCUGGCCCACUCCUCAGCUUCCUGGGGGUUGUCGCCGGCGCCAACAUGAUCGCCGCCGGCGUCCGGACGGCCGACGACCCAGCAGCACCCAUCGGCCCCGCGCCCGCAGCGUUCGCCGGUGCACGUGCGUUCAUGCGGCGCAACCUCGCCGUCGUGGGGCUCGUCAUGGUUUCCUCUGCUUCCACAGCGGUUGCGGGGAAAUAGGCCCAGCGUUCUCCUUCAUGAUGUUUGUCCUGCUGGUGUUCGGGGUCUCUCUGAUCAACAUCGGAGUUCAUGGCGCCUAGUCUGGUGUGUCAGCUCCGGUCCGUUGAUGCUCGUAUCGUUCUUCAUACGUUGACGGAUGUCAGUAAUCGCCGCCUCCCUCCACGGAUGGUUUUUGAGUAACAACAAUAAAGGAAAUGGAAUUGGAAUUGGAAUUGCAUUUUUUGUUUGAACCGAGGGAGUACUAUUUCUGAAUAAUCAACCAGUAUGUUUUUCCUUAAUUACUACGUGCUUCUUUGUAAUUCAUGAAUUACGUUAGUGAGCUCAAGUACCUUUUCACGGGAACAUGUGAUAUUCCAUCUCCAUGAUUCCACACCUGCUAUCCAAGUUGAGUAGCAGAAGAUGAUCCUGCCCCUACUUUUUCAGCCGCUUUAUUCAAUUGCUUUUGACGCCAGGAGUCGAGACACAAGAUGUAUCCAUGUGGGUCCCGGCGCUGACCUGCGAGAUCCGACGCCACUUUUCGGUUGCAUCCCGAUCAUGGCCACUGCAGUACUAAGACCAUCCAAACAGGACAGCGAUGGAGCUGACGUGGAUGUCUGUCUGGAGAACGGGGUGGGUGGCGUGCAGAUUGCGACGCACCACGACAGAGGCGGCGCGUUCGUAACGGGGUGGGGGGUGUGCCGAUUGCGCCGGCGACGGCGACAGCGGACCGAAUGGACCACCUCGCCUUUUUUUUCCCCCUUCUGCUUCAUAUAAGCCAUCGAUCCAUUGUCAAGGAUUGUUCAGCGCAUAUUUUCGAGGUUGUGGAUCCAUCAAUCCCUUAAAGAUUGGACCCAAACUACCAAGAUGUUGGCCAGAUGUAUGCGCCAGCCAUUGGAAUGGACCAUCGAGAGUCAAAUCUGCAAACUGAGGCAUUGGAAUAUUAGAAUGAGUGUUUGGAUAUUAGGUGUUAAAUUUUAGCAGUGUCCCAUCGGAUGUUCGGAUGCUAAUUAGAAGGACUAAACAUAAGCUAAUUAUAAAACUAAUUGCAGAACCCCUGGGCUAAUUCGCGAGACGAAUCUAUUAAGCCUAAUUAGUCCAUCAUUAUCAAAUGGUUACUAUAGCACCACAUUGCUCGUGAUGGGGCUCGCCUGCGUCCCCUUGGCCGCCGUCUGGGCGAACGUCGGCCGGAUCCUGGUGUUCCUCGGCCAGGACAGCGCCAUCGCCGCCGAGGCCGGCGCCUACGCGCGGUGCCUCAUCCCGUCCAUCUUCCUGAGCGUGCCGCUGCAGUGUCACGUGCGGUUCCUGCAGGCGCAGAGCCUCGUCCACCCCGUAAUGGCGAGCACGGGCGCCACGGCGCUCUGCCACGCCGCCGUGUGCUGGGCGCUCGUGUACAAGGCCGGCAUGGGGAGCAAGGGCGCCGCGCUCAGCAAUGCCAUCUCGUGUGCUGCCAACUUGGUGAUGCUGGCUGUGUACGUCAGGACGUCGAGCGCCUGCAGGUGUACAUGGAACGGCUUCUCCAUGGAGAUGUUUGAGUUUGAGGAGCUUCGAUCGUUCGCCGCCCUCGCCGUGCCGUCCGGGUUCAUGAUAUGGUGAGAUGAUCGGCGCAGCCAUUAAUCUCGGAGCUUUCUACUUGGCGUGAUCAUAUGAAUGGAAAGGUGUAUGGUACGACGCGUGAUCUCAUGGUACAUGACAAAAAGAGUCAUGCCGCACGGCAGCCACCCGGUGGAGAUCUCACGCGAGAGGAGAAAUAGAAGAGAGCACGCAGCACACGAGAUGGGAUUAUGCUGAUCAGGGAGAGGCCGAGGAGCCGGGGCGAAGCUAGAGCCGGAGGAUUUGUGUGCACACUUGACACUUCAAUAUAAAAAUCUUGUCCAAUAUAUAUAAAGUUAAAGGAAAUACUUACCAAAAUAGAGAAUAUGAUACUCUUGAUAGUUAAUAUUAAUAAACACCAGCAAAAUAUUAUACGGUCUGUAUACAAUUGGCAAAAUACACCAUUAAGUUGACUCCUCCACGAGGAAGCGGAUCAUUGUCUGCUGUGUAGAGCAAGUAAUUCGAAGACUUUUGCUUGGGGGUCGAUCAUUCUGGACUUUUGCUUGUAUACAUACAUACAUAUGUAUAUACAUAUAUACAUAUAUAUAUAACUAUACUAAAUAAUACCCUGGGUACAGAAUAAUAUAUAUAUAGGAAUAGCUUAUUCUGUACCCAGGGUAUUANNNNNNNNNNNNNNNNNNNNNNNNNNNNNNNNNNNNNNNNNNNNNNNNNNNNNNNNNNNNNNNNNNNNNNNNNNNNNNNNNNNNNNNNNNNNNNNNNNNNNNNNNNNNNNNNNNNNNNNNNNNNNNNNNNNNNNNNNNNNNNNNNNNNNNNNNNNNNNNNNNNNNNNNNNNNNNNNNNNNNNNNNNNNNNNNNNNNNNNNNNNNNNNNNNNNNNNNNNNNNNNNNNNNNNNNNNNNNNNNNNNNNNNNNNNNNNNNNNNNNNNNNNNNNNNNNNNNNNNNNNNNNNNNNNNNNNNNNNNNNNNNNNNNNNNNNNNNNNNNNNNNNNNNNNNNNNNNNNNNNNNNNNNNNNNNNNNNNNNNNNNNNNNNNNNNNNNNNNNNNNNNNNNNNNNNNNNNNNNNNNNNNNNNNNNNNNNNNNNNNNNNNNNNNNNNUGUGUGUAUGUAUGUAUAUAUAUAUAUAUAUAUAUAUAUAUAUAUAUAUAUAUAUAUAUAUAUAUAUAUAUAUAUAUAUAUAUAUACACAUACACACGCACGCAGGUAUACAUAUAUAUGUGUGUAACUUGGGUACGGGAGGUUGGGGCAAGUAGCAAAGGGAAUAAGCUAUUCCUAUAUAUAUAUGUACGCAGGUAUACAUAUGUAUGUAUUCCUAUAUAUAUAUGUACGCAGGUAUACAAUCUACUAUCUCCAAAGCAUACUACUACGAGUACUACUAUAUAUAUAUCUGUAUAUAUACAUAUAAAUGUCGGUCCACGCGUCCAAUUGGGAAAGUAGGAACCAAAUCAUCAAUCGAGCAUCAAUGCAUCUGGGAGAGGCCAAGAAUCCCAACGCCGAUCAGGGAGAGGCCGAGGAGGAGCAGAGCAAACAUGCCGAAGCAGAGCAGCUGGCCUGCUUCGCUGGAGACCGCCGUGACGGCGCAGGAAGCCACCACGAGCCCCACGACGGCGAGGUUGCGACCAAGGAAAUCUGCGAGAGCACGCGCCUCAGCCAACACCGCAGGGACGACGAGCGCCGGGUCGGCGUCGGACAUCCGAAUGCCGACGGCGACGAUGUUGGCGCCAGCGAGAACCCCCGCGAAGCAGAGUAGCAAGCCGAAUGCGCCGGCGCCGGCGCCGGGGUGGAAUCCGGCGCUGACGGAGAACAGCAAGAUGGCGAGGCCUGCGACCAUCGCCGUGGUGCCCGGAGUGGCCUGUUAUGAAUGAACGGCGUAUGGAAUAUGAAGUAAAGAAUCAAACCGCAAGGAGACACACGAUUUACGUGGAAAACCCCUUCAAUGUGAAGAGGAAAAACCACGGGCACCAGCCGGCAACAAUCUCACUAUGUCAAGAGUUUGGGGGUUACACGCCUACGGCGGCUUACACGAGAAUCUCUCUGUCUCUCUUCUUUCUCGGUACAAAACCCUAGCAAGGGUGCUAGUAUAUGUAGUACCGACACCCAGACAGGGGUUAAUGUGCGGUACGGACUCUUGGUCCCGUACGAGGAUGGAACUCCUCCUCGCCCGACCUUUGAGUCCUUCGUCCUGGAGUCGGGUGCGCCUGGGACAUCGCCUCGUCCGACCCCAAGCCUGGGGUCGGAUGCGCCUGACCCCUUGAGGGUCGAUCUCCGAUUCGCCCGACCCCAAAGUCCAGGGGUCGGGAGACGCUCCGCCUCGCCCGGCCCCGAGUCCCGGGGUCGGGAGAUGCUCCGCCUCGCCCGGCCCUAAGUGUAAAGGGUCGGGAAGGUCGGCCUUUAUCCUGGAGUGAAUUUGGAACAACUCCAACAAACUCCACCUUGAGACAAAUUCAUCUUGUAUCAACAUCCCUUCAUCCUGAACAGAACAAAGACAAAGAAAACCACUGGUGCCAACAAUAGUCUCUUGGACUAUCCGAUUAAACCAACUAAGCCCGAGCACAGCUCAAACUUAGUAACAGGAACAGGCUUUGUCAUCAUAUCAGCAGGAUUAUCAUGAGUACUGAUCUUGCAUACCUUCAGCUUACCUUCUUCGAUCACAUCACGCGCAAAAUGAUACUUGAUGUCAAUGUGCUUAGUUCUUUUAUGGAACAUUUGAUCUUUAGUGAGGUAAAUUGCACUUUGGCUGUCACAGUGCAAACUUAUGCAAGCUUCAAUUCCACAAAGCUCGGUGUACAAACCUUUUAGCCAAAUCAGUUCUUUGCACGCCUCACAAAUCGCCAUAUAUUCUGCUUCAGUAGUAGACAAAGCAACAACCGACUGUAAAGUAGCCUUCCAACUCACAGCACAACUUCCAACAGUAAACACAUAGCCUGUGAGUGAUCUUCGCCUGUCUAGAUCAGCAGCAUAAUCUGAGUCCACAUAGCCAACAAGACCCUCAUCAGUUCUUCCAAACUUUAAACAGGAAUUUGCUGUGCCUUUGAGGUAUCUGAAAAUCCACUGAACUGCCCUCCAAUGUUCUUUGCCGGGAUUAGACAUAUAUCUACUAACAAGGCUCAUAGCAUAUGACAAAUCCGGGCGAGAGCAAACCAUGGCAUACAUCAAAGACCCAACAGCACUAGAAUAAGGAAUCUUUGACAUGUCUUUGACCUCUGCAUCUGUACUAGGACACUGAGCUGCUGACAACUUGAAGUGAGGUGCAAUAGGAGUACUUACAGCCUUUGCAUCUUGCAUGUUGAAACGCUGAAGAACUUUCUUGAUAUAAUUCUGUUGACUAAGGAAGAGCAAACCAGAAUUUCGGUCUCUCCUAAUUUCCAUACCAAGAAUUUUCUUAGCACUGCCAAGAUCUUUCAUAUCAAAACCGCUACUCAAUAGCUUCUUUAAUUUAUUUAUUUCAGUCUUGCUCUUGGCCGCAAUCAGCAUAUCAUCAACGUAUAUCAGCAAGUAUAUAGGUGAUCCAUUAACAUGCUUGAUAUAAACACAGCUAUCAUACUUAGAUCUUUUAAAACUGUGUGAUAACAUAAAUGAAUCAAACCUCUUGUUCCACUGUCGAGGGGACUGUUUCAAACCAUACAAGGAUCUCUUCAACUUGCACACAUAUUUCUCCUUGCCAGGCACUAUGAAACCUUCUGGUUGGUCCAUGUAUAUGUCCUCCUCGAGCUCUCCAUGCAAAAACGCAGUCUUCACAUCUAACUGCUCAAGCUCAAGAUCAUGUGAAGCAACAACACUAAGGAAAGUGCGGAUUGAACUGUGUUUUACCACUGGAGAGAAAACAUCAUUGUAGUCAACACCCGGAAUUUGGCUGUAGCCUUUAGCAACUAACCUUGCCUUAUAUUUUGGAGGCUCUCUUGGAGAUAAACCCUCCUUUCUUUUGAAGAUCCAUUUGCAGCGGAUGGCCUUCUUAUUCUUAGGCAAAGGUACAAGUUCCCAUGUACUGUUCUUCUCAAGAGAUUGCAUCUCCUCAUGCAUAGCCGAAAUCCAGUUUUCAGUAUCAUCACAAUGAAUAGCUUCUUUAUAGGUUGCUGGCUCAUGAACAUUCUCCACCUGUUCAGCACAACUCAAAGCAUGGUAAGAUAAAUUACAUUCUUCAAUAAGACGGUUAGGAGGGAUAACAGUCCUUUUGGACUUGCGUUUAGCAAUGGGUAGAUCCUCCUCUGGAGUUUGCUGGACAUCAUCAUGAGCAUUAGCCGACCCCGAGACCAAAGGGUCUGGCGCAUCAACAACAGCCGACCCCGGAGCCAAGGGGUCUGGCGCAGCAACUUCCGACCCCGGAGCCAAGGGGUCUGGCGCUUGAGCAUUGGCCGACCCUGGAGCCAAAGGGUCUGGCGCAUCAGAAACGACCGACCCCGGAGCCAAGGGGUCUGGCGCAUCCGACCCCGAGACCAAGGGGUCGGGGUUGACAGUGUCAUCACGAGCUUGCUCCACCUGCAGAUGCAUACGCUGCAGUGCGUUUUCUGGAACUUUAUCUGAGGGCAAGCUGUCAGUAAACAUCACAGAUUCAUUGAAAAUAACACUUCUGCUCAGAAAGGUCUUUCCUGUUUCCGGGUUCCACAAUUUGUAGCCUUUAACACCCGAACCAUAACCAAGGAAGAGACAUUUAAUAGCUCUAGGCUCUAAUUUUCCAUUAUCAACAUGAGCAUAUGCAGUGCAUCCAAAAACUUUCAACUGUGAGUAAUCAGCAGGCGUUCCAGACCAUACCUCAAUGGGAGUUCUUUUAUUUAGUGGAAUAGAAGGCGACCUGUUGAUCAAGUAACAGGCAGUAUUAGCAGCUUCAGCCCAAAAACGCUUGCUCAUCCUGGCAUUAGACAGCAUGCAACGGGCCUUGGAUAUGAUGGAUCUGUUCAUGCGUUCGGCCACACCAUUCUGUUGUGGAGUAUGGGGUAUGGUGUGAUGCCUUACAAUGCCUUCUGAUCUGCAAUAAUCAUUAAAUUCACGCGAACAAAAUUCUCCACCAUUAUCAGUGCGAAGCAUUUUCACCUUUCUUUCAGUUUGCCUUUCAAUCAUCACUUUCCAGUCCUUAAAGGCGGCAAAGGUAUCAUCUUUCUGUUUCAGAAAAUAAGGCCACACUCUUCUAGAGUAAUCAUCAAUAAUUGUGAGCAUGUAACGAGCACCACCAAGCGAGGGCUUACGGGAAGGCCCCCACAAAUCAGCAUGGAUAUAAUCAAGAGUACCUUUAGUGGUGUGAACUGAAGUGUUGAAACGUACCCUUUUAUGCUUCCCGAAAACACAGUGCUCACAAAACUUCAUUUUACUCGAAGUGCAGCCAUCCAGUAGGUUUCUUCUCAUCAAUUCGGUCAUACCAUGGUGACUCAUAUGUCCCAGACGCAUAUGCCAAAGGUUAGUUUUACUAGGUUCCUCAUUAGUAACAGCAGCAACAGCGGAAUCAGAACCAGUUAAAGUACACCCUCUAAGGACAUAUAACUUUGCAGAAUUGAGAUCACCCUUUAAGCAGACAAGAUUACCUUUUGAUACCUUCAGAACGCCAUCCGAACCAGAAUAUUUGUAGCCUUUUGCAUCAAGCGUGCUCAAUGAAAUAAGAUUUCUGGACAUUCCUGGUAUGUACCUGACGUUUUUCAGAGUGCGUGUCAUGCCAUCAUGAGUCUUGAUCUGAACCGAUCCAAUCCCCUCAAUAUCACACGGGGUAUUAUCUCCCAUCCGCACCACAUCUCCUUUCGGCAUAGACUUAUAAGAGCUAAACCAAUUUCUGUUAAUGCAAAUAUGAAAUGAACAUGCAGAAUCAAGAAUCCACUCAUCAUGACCAGCAACACAACCGGCAAAUACCACCAGACUAUCUCCAGAUUCUUCAUCAGACACGGCAGCAGCAACAGAGGCCUUACCGGCCGACUUGUUUUUCUUCUUCUCCUUAUUCUGUACUUUUCUGCAAUCCUCAACAUUGUGAUUUGUUAGCUUGCAAUAAACACAGAAUUUCUUAUUACCAUGCGGCUUGGACUUUGAACGGCAUCUCCUUUCAUAAUUUUUCCUUCCAUCAUCAUUGGAGGAUCUGUUAUCAGUUAUGCCUCUCACGAGCAAAGCAUCACCCCUGGAGGACGACGUCCUGUCAUUCUGCACCAUACCUCUCAUCUUCUCCCUUGACUGGAGAGCCUCAUAAACUUCCUUUAAGGUUAGUUCGUCACGGCUCAAGAGUAUGGUGUCACGAAAAUUUGCAUACGAAGUUGGCAAAGAACAUAACAGUAAAAGACCUAAGUCCUCAUCUUCAUACUUCACCUCCAUUGAUACUAGAUCGGCGACGAUUUUCUUGAACUCAGCGAUGUGGCUCAUCACUGAAUCUUCCUCCUUCAUCUUCAAAGUGAACAGCUUCAUCUUCAUCUGCAUCUUACUGGUUAGAUCCUUGGACAUACAGAUCGAUUCCAGUUUCAGCCAUAAUUCUGCAGCAGUUUUUUCUUUCAGACACUCCUGCAAAAUAUCAUUAUGAAGAUGCAACUGUAUUAAGGCGAGAGCCUUCUGAUCCUUGCGGAUCUCUUCUGGAGUCCACGCGGUCUUCGACUUCUUCCCGAAGCUAUCUAGCGCCUCAUCAUAAUCAUGAGUUUGCGCCAGGAUUCCCCUCAUCUUGACUUGCCAUAGCGAGAAACGCGUGUCGUAGUUCAGCAGCGGUAGAUCAAACUUCAUUGACGACGACAUGAAAUCCAAACAGCAACCAAAGCUCUGGUACCACUUGUUAUGAAUGAACGACGUAUGGAAUAUGAAGUAAAGAAUCAAACCGCAAGGAGACACACGAUUUACGUGGAAAACCCCUUCAAUGUGAAGAGGAAAAACCACGGGCACCAGCCGGCAACAAUCUCACUAUGUCAAGAGUUUGGGGGUUACACGCCUACGGCGGCUUACACGAGAAUCUCUCUGUCUCUCUUCUUUCUCGGUACAAAACCCUAGCAAGGGUGCUAGUAUAUGUAGUACCGACACCCAGACAGGGGUUAAUGUGCGGUACGGACUCUUGGUCCCGUACGAGGAUGGAACUCCUCCUCGCCCGACCUUUGAGUCCUUCGUCCUGGAGUCGGGUGCGCCUGGGACAUCGCCUCGUCCGACCCCAAGCCUGGGGUCGGAUGCGCCUGACCCCUUGAGGGUCGAUCUCCGAUUCGCCCGACCCCGAGUCCUGGGGUCGGGAGAUGCUCCGACUCGCCCGACCCCAAAGUCCAGGGGUCGGGAGACGCUCCGCCUCGCCCGGCCCCGAGUCCCGGGGUCGGGAGAUGCUCCGCCUCGCCCGGCCCUAAGUGUAAAGGGUCGGGAAGGUCGGCCUUUAUCCUGGAGUGAAUUUGGAACAACUCCAACAUGGCCAUGGUCGGCAGCGUGGCACCGCAGUCCCCUGCUUAAUUGGAGAGGGCCGUCGAGCGAGCAGGCGAAGUGCGCAGCGGACGGGGCGAGAUUUAUAGGUGCGGCUGGGCUAGGCAAUAGCUGCAUGAGCAUGCAAGACAGAGACUCGUGUGUCUGAGAAACUUGGAAUGGUAAGUAGCUUCUGGGCAGCUUCCAACUGCUUUUUGGAAUGGUAAGGCUGGUGGUCACGCCCACGGCCCAAUUAUCAAUAGGAAAAUUCCGGGCCAGCUGAAAAGAGUACCGGGGAGGAAAGCGUUGCCGAAGAGGCGAAGUGCGGAGAACAGCAGAAAAAGGUCGUCGUUGCUAUCAUCACUUUAUUAAGUGCGGAGAACAGCGGGGUUGAUUAUAUACUUGGUGCCAUGAAGGUCGUCGUUGCUAUCAUCACUUUAUUAGAAAAUAAUUAUUCCGAAAUGUUAAGGAUAUCGAGAAUAGACGACGGAAAAUCCAACAGCUAGCUUCUCACCAAUUCCUCCAAAUGCACCAUUCAUCUUAUCUUAUUACUCUCUCUGUCCCAGAAUAUAACUACGAUUUAGACUUUGAAAUCUUAUUACUCUCUCGGUCCCAGAAUAUAACUACGAUUUAGACUUUUUCAAAGUCAAACUUUUUCAACUUUAACCGCGAAUAUCGAAAUAAUUAUAGAGACUAAUAACAUAAAAAUGAUGUUGGUAAAUUUAUCAUGAAACCAACUAUUAUAAUAUGUAGUCUUUUCUAUUUAUAAUAAAUUAUUUUUAGAGAUAUUGUUGGUCAAAGUUAAAAAUAUUUGACUUUAGAAAAAUCUAAACAUAGCUAUAUUCCGGGACGGAGGGAGUAUUUCAUUUAUUGGCACUUCAAUGACCACCACCAAAUACCCAAAUCUUGUGCUCGUCGAUCAGUCUGAUAUCCUGUACCAACUUUACCGUGUACACCAUACCUAUAGGAUUACCAGAGUUUAAGGUUAUCUGAGCAUAUAGUAGGAACAGAACCUGUGACAGAGCAUGUGCAAAAUAGUACUAGUAGGGUUGACAGAUGUAUUUGCAUGGUGGAUUUUCACUUGAAUUUUGUGUGUUUCAACUUAAAUUCGGAGAACAGCGUAUCGCACUUAGCGGCGGAUUCGACUUGCUACUCUGCUUCGCGGGGGUUCUCGUCGGCGCCAACGUCGUCACCGUCGGCAUCCGGAUGUCCGACGCCGACAUGGCGCCCGUCCUCCCGGCGGUGUUGCCCGAGGCGCGUGCUCUCGCAUGCUCUCUCUGUUCAGAAUAAGAUGACGUUUUGGACAACUAAUUUGUCAUGUAGCAUGAGAGAACUGAACAACUUCCACCGGGUGGCUGCCGUGCGGCAGGACUCUUAGAUUUUGGUUCCUCGUUGUUCCACCCGCAUGACACCCGCAUGACGCUCUCUUGGGCCAUGUUUAGUUAUCCCUCAACUCCCAACUUUGACACUAUGCAAAAAGAAAAUUCUCAUUACAUCAAACUUGCGGUAUAUGCAUGGAGUACUAAAUGUAGACGAAAUUAAAAACUAAUUGCACAGUUUUGUUGUACUUUGCGAGACGAAUCUUUUGAACCUAAUUAGUCAAUAUUUGGACAAUAAUUCACAAAUACAAACGAAACGUUACAGUGUGCUACGGUGUUGGUACAAUAAUUUUGCCUCUCCCAAAUGGCCAACUAAAAGGCCCUGGNNNNNNNNNNNNNNNNNNNNNNNNNNNNNNNNNNNNNNNNNNNNNNNNNNNNNNNNNNNNNNNNNNNNNNNNNNNNNNNNNNNNNNNNNNNNNNNNNNNNCCAACACUGUAGCACACUGUACGUUUCGUUUGUAUUUGUGAAUUAUUGUCCAAAUAUUGACUAAUUAGGCUCAAAAGAUUCGUCUCACAAAGUACAACAAAACUGUGCAAUUAGUUUUUGAUUUCGUCUACAUUUAGUACUCCAUGCAUGUACCGCAAGUUUGAUGUGAUGGGGAAUCUUCUUUUUGCAUAGUGUCAAAGUUGGGAGUUUGAAGGGAAGUAAACAUGGCCUAAGACGACGUUUUGGACAACUAAUUUGACCUGCAAUUAGUUACUUCUUCAUGUCUGAACCAUCAACUAUAUCCGAUCGGAGGCAGUACGAAUUGUUACUGGCCCUAUCCUAUCAGAGUACUACCACUUUGUGUUACUCAGUAUGGUUUGGCUAUCAGUGGCUAGUUGGAGAGAUUAGUAAUGAAAUUUUAAUUCCCAAUCACUCUCUCUCUCUCUCCGGAUCAGAGCGUGUUCUCCGAUCAAUCAAUCCGAGCUCAUAAACCAAGUGCAACGCAUCCACAAAACGGAGUACUUUCGCAGGAACGAACGGAAGGAGUCGCCGCCGCAGGUGUUCGGUCUACGAUUUGGGAUUGUGGCGACGUUGUUGGCCAGGGCCUCGCCACUGCGUUCGCGCCCGUGCUCGUGCCACCACCCGCACGGGUUUCCCGUCAAAUUGGCGCUAAAAUAUACAUAAUCGCCAAAUUGGCGCUAAAAUAUACAUGGGCGAACGCGGUUAGCGUCCGUAUCUGACAACUGCAUAUGUAUUGUACUCUUGCUGACGUUGGUCCUCUUAUCGUUCAAUUCGCAUCCAGUUGUUAUCAUCUGAAGAGAGAAAAGGCGACAAGAUCGAUGAUUAAAAAAGGAGUUUAGUUGGAACCAUACGUGAUCCAAAGCGGAUUGGACUCGACCGCGUUCAUGUUAGGUCAUAAUUAUAUAAAAGUCUGAUGACACUCAGCAAAGCCUGCCUUCCUACGCCAACUACGAGCAAUGGCGCCUGAUGACACCACUCAAUGGUUAAUACUGGGCGACUUCAACUUAAUAUACAGCGCACGAGACAAGAACAAUAACAACUUAAAUCGGAGGCUUAUGAGGAGCUUCAGAGCAACGCUGAACUAUUGCGGACUUAAAGAAAUUCACCUACAGAACAGACGAUUCACCUGGAGCAACGCAAGACACGAGCCGACACUAACGCGAAUUGACAGAGUUUUCUGCAAUGCAUCUUGGGAUGUACAAUUUGACGAUCACGUCCUUCACGCCCUCUCUUCCUCGCACUCGGACCACUGCCCUUUAAUACUUGCGCAAAACUCGGGACCUCGUAGACCGACGCCAUUCAAAUUCGAAAACUUUUGGACACGGCUACCAGGUUUUUAUGAAAUUGUCACCCAGGAAUGGUCAAAGCCGACUACCCAUACUGAGCCGUUCCAUAGACUGGGCUGUAAACUACACAACACUGUCCGAGCACUAAGAUCAUGGAGCCGAAUGCAUGUCUCCGACGCUCGCUUAAAACUGCAUAUGGCCCAAGAAGUCAUCCUACGCCUUGACGUAGCGGAGGAAACAAGAACGCUCACGGAACCAGAACACAAUAUACGGAGCAAACUCAAAAAAAGACUUUUGGGAUGGGUGGCCAUAGAGAAAGCGAGAAGGAAACAGUGCUCUAGGAUAACCUACCUACGAGAAGGCGAUGCGAAUACUAAGUUUUUACACCUCAAGGCAAAUGGAAGGAGGCGGAAAAACUUCAUCCAACGAUUGAAGAGGGGAAAUGACUGGGCCGUGACACACAUACAAAAACAGCAAAUAAUCCAAAACCACUUUGACAAUGUGAUGUCUGCUCCUCCUGCACGCACCAAAACCUUCAACUGGGAAAAGCUACAUUUUCCAGUAGUGGAUUUAACUGGAAUCGAUAACCCUUUUCAGAUAAGGAGAUACAAAAUGCAAUAACUGCCCUGCCCAAAGAUAAAGCGCCAGGCCCAGAUGGCUUCACUGGGUUGUUCUUCAAGUCAUGCUGGGGUAUCAUCAAAGGAGACGUUAUAGCGGCAGUAAACGUUUUUCACGCUGGGAGAUGCAACGACUUAAAUUUGCUUAAUUCAGCAACUAUUGUGUUGGUACCUAAAAAGGACGGCGCUGAAAGCAUCAACGACUUCAGACCAAUAAGCCUUAUACACGCAAUAGCAAAGAUCAUUACCAAAGUGCUGGCAACCAGGCUUCAGCCCUACAUGGACAAAUUGAUUUCGCCAAGCCAAAGUGCCUUCAUAAAAGGACGAAGCAUCCACGACAAUUUCCUUUAUGUUCGGAACAUGGCAAGAAGGUUUCACAGGCAAAAAAUGCCGGCACUGCUAAUGAAGCUGGACAUCUCAAAGGCUUUCGAUUCUGUCCGCUGGGACUACCUGCUUGAAUUACUGCAACAUAGAGGAUUUCCUGCAAGAUGGCGUAACUGGAUCACGGCAUUGCUAGUCACAUCAACCUCCAAAGUUCUAAUCAAUGGAAUUCCAUCCGACGCAAUUGUGCAUGGGCGAGGCCUACGACAAGGAGACCCCCUAUCUCCCUUCCUUUUCAUCCUAGCGAUAGACCCGCUGUACCAAUUAGUACACACGGCAACAGGAAUGGGAUUACUUAAAAAACUAGGCGGACGUACGCCGCGCACUAACAUCUCUAUGUACGCCGAUGACGCGGCCAUCUUCAUAAAGCCAACAAAGGAAGACGUCACAAAUGUCACAACACUCCUGCAUUUAUUCGGAAAGGCCACAGGACUCCAAACAAAUCUACAAAAGACAACAGUGGCUCCCAUCAGCUGCAAUAACGUAGACCUCGACGAAAUCCUAUCCGAAUGGCCAAUCAGUCGCACCGGCUUCCCAUUAAAAUACCUCGGGCUACCACUUGCGAUAAGGCGCCUAAGGAAAGUGGACUUCCAACCUCUAAUAGACAAAGCAGCAAAGAAGCUAUCUGGGUGGCACAAUCGCAACAUCACACAAGCAGGCCGAGUCUGCCUCGCCAAAGCUGUGCUUUCUGCGCAACCUUUGUAUCUACUAACUGUCUUAAAACCAACAUGCGAAGUCCUGGAAGAACUAGACAAAAUAAGGAAAUGAUUCAUCUGGGCCGGAGACAAUCUGCUGACAGGUGGCAAAUGCAAGGUCAACUGGAUCAAAUCCUGCUUACCAAAAGAAAAUGGCGGACUAGGAGUGCUGAACCUUCAUAAUUUUGCUAGAGCAUUGAGACUACGAUGGAUUUGGCAUGAGUGGGAGUCCCCGGAGAAAACAUGGAUCGGAAUGGACAUUCCAUGCGAUGACUCCGAUCAACGCUUAUUCACGGCUUGCACAAUUAUCACAGUGGGAAAUGGAUGUAAAACAAGCUUCUGGCACUCAGCUUGGGGAAGGGGUUCCCGACCGAAGGACAUUGCGCCCAACAUAUAUAAGCUAUCUAGGGGGUGUCGGGGGGAAAUAUUAACGAUCCCCUAACAUGCUGCUUAAAGAAGCAAACAUGAAGGCCCAAGCCCACCAAAGCCUGAUCAAAUCUCCGCCUCGCCCGACCCAGGCGUCAGGAUCGGGAGUGCCCGACCCCUCGCCCGCAAGGUUUCCGCCUCGCCCGACUGCGAUCCCAGGGUCGGGGGCGCCCGACCCCUCAUCACGGAGUUCUCCGCCUCGCCCGACCCAGGCGUCAGGAUCGGGAGCGCCUGACCCCUCGCCCGCAAGGUUUCCGCCUCGCCCGACUGCGAUCCCAGGGUCGGGGGCGCCCGACCCCUCAUCACGGAGUUCUCCGCCUCGCCCGACCCUAAGUGGAGGGGUCGGGCGCACUGGGGCCCACAAGUCCGGGAACCCCCUCGGAUGCGGUCCGCAUAGACAAAACAAAUCCUGUGGGUCCCCCCGUCGGCCUCACCAUAAAUGCACCGCAGAGUUGAUAGAGGGCAGGGCGACCGCGCCCCUCACGCAACCUGGUGCAAGUACCCGUGCACGUCCGUCCUGUGCAGGCUACAGUGCCGGCGGCCGGCUCCCAUUCGCCGCAGGGCACUCAUAGCCUGCGCCGACCGGAGCAAAGGAGAGAGAGGCCUGUCCUCGGGUCCCGCACACCCUCGGGUCCCGCACACCCAACAGUGCGGAUGUGACGCCCUCCCUCUUAGCGGCCGUCGCCGGAGCAGCGGCAUCCGCCGUCCUCCCUAACAGACGCUGGGGUAACGACGGAACACCAUCACCAUGGCCUGAUACCUACGGGCAUCAAAGCAGCUAUAUGAAGGAGGCAAUAACACUUGGCAAAGGGCGACUUCCUCCUCCGGCAUGCACGCCAACACUCGUCAAGGGCCGGCAGAGACAACGGACGCCUAGGAUCUGGCCCCUCCUUCCUGCCAUGCUUUUUACCAUUUUACGCCUUACCCUUUACCAUCCUCUUUUAACCGAUCCCAAUUGUAACUCCGGCCAUCCCCUUGUGAUAUAAAAGGAGGAAACCGAGGCCGGGGGGAGGGAUCAAUCGAACAAUCUACGAACAGACCGGGGGAUCGCUCGAUCAGCUUCUUCCCCCACACACCUUAGUACACUACACCUCUCCCUGAGAGCAAAAGAAAAAAAGAGACUUGGGACCUGUCCCUCUCUCGCCAAUCUGUACCCCCUACUACAGAACCCCCGCGUGGGCAACACGAGCAUCCUCGAUACUGGACGUAGGGCUUCCUUUGCCCGAACCAGUCUAAAUCUGUGUCCCCCACGCAACCAUCUGAGGCUCACGCGCAUAAAAGAAAUUUACUAGUCUAAGUCUAGGUCCGCUGAUCCUGACAACGACAGGGGGAAACAUAAAACUCUUGCAGAGGCAUUACACAACAAUAGAUGGGUGACGGACAUAAACAUCCAUGCCGGACUUACAACGCGGCACUUACAAGAAUUCGUCACACUAUGGCGGCUAGUAGCGACAGUAAGCCUCCAAGCACAACAGGAAGACACAAUCCGUUGGAAAUUCACGCAAAAUGGUCAAUACUCAGCGGCAUCAGCAUACAAGGCACAGUUUUUAGGAUCCACUCAUGCACCGCACAGUAAAACAAUAUGGAAAUGCUGGGCACCCCCGAAAUGCAAAUUUUUCGCGUGGCUGAUACUACAGGACCGGGUAUGGACAGCUGAUCGACUUGCGCGAUGAGGAUGGCCGCACUCACCAAAUUGCCCUCUAUGCCGAGUACAACAAGAGACAGCACAUCAUCUCCUGGCACAAUGCAGAUACACCAAGCGAAUAUGGAGUCUUGUUACCACUUGGGCCUCGCAACUCAGCCUACACCCUUCGGAAUGGCCACCAACUGCCAAUGCUCUAGAGUGGUGGAUAAAUAUGACUACAAGGACCGAAGCUCCUCGGAAAGGAGUCUGCUCUAUGGGCCUGCUGAUAAUAUGGGAAAUUUGGAAGGAGCGCAAUCGACGAAUCUUCAACCAUCAAGGGAUGGCCGCAACAGCACUGCUAGCACAAAUCAAAGCGGAAGCAGACACGUGGAUUUUAGCAGGGGCGAGAGCUCUAGCGUUGUUCUUAUCCAGAGAGUAAUCGUGCUAGGAAAAGGAAACUUUGUAUCUCCUUUGUAACAAUCUGUAAUUAUCUACUAUCUCAAUAAAAUAGGCACUAUCCCGUACCCAUUCCUUCAAAAAAAAAGUCAUAUUUCACCGAUCACUGUACAUAUGAAAGUGGUCUUUUUUUUUCCUAUUGGCCUGGAUUACCGUGGCUACCUCUAACCUACUCACUCCAUCCCGCAAAGAGUGUCCAUUUAGUUGGCUCCUUGUCUGUGCAUUAAGAUGCUCAUCCCAAUCUUCCAAUGAAUCACUAUCAAAUCCAUCAAACUCAACAAUACGAGCUUCACGAGUUGAUGUGUCAAGCCCCGACUUCUCUGAAGGACCACAAUAUUCAUGGAACAGCUCCCUUAUUGCAUCACGCACGGCAGAUACAUACUUCUCUGCAUCAGUACCAAAAGCUCGCUUUAGACGGAACUCAAUAAAAGUAAUUUUGAAUCUCGGAUCAAGAACAACAGGUAUUGACAGCCACACGUAUGAACUUUGCCAAUACUCAUUGAACGCUUCUUGCAUCACCCAAACCAUGUUAGCAAGUUCAGUGUGAUCAGAGGAUGCUUCUUCUUGCAAAGUUGUUCUAACUUUCCAUAGUUCAUUGAAGUAUAUAUUUGCUGUCGGGCUAACAGGACCAGAAAUUACUUCAACAGCACGAUAAAAAGCCCUCAGUAUCCUGCAAACAGAUUCCACAGUUUUAGUAUCUUCUGCAGAUAAGAAUUCUUCCCAGGGGAAUGCCUUCUUGAAAUGCAGAAAAACUUGAAGCCUGAAGUAAAUUUUAUGCCACCAUUUCGCAUCCUCCUGUGGUCACUUCAAUCCAAGAUGUGUAACAACUUCUAAAAGUUGCUGCCGAGUCAGCGAUGAGGACAUUUGUACCUGAAUAAAUUUCUCUAGUAUGUCACCAACAUGGUGAAGCACUGGUUGCCCUUUUGAAACAAUGCUGUUAAGCACAUCAUCCACACAAGCAACAUUGUACAGUUCACCUCUAAUAGGAAGGCAUUUUCUUUGGAUGAGCAAGUCCAUCAGCUUUGAGGUACCCUCAUCGCUUCUAAUUGCAUUGACAGAUGUCAAGCUGAAAUGCUUCUGAUCAAGAUUCCAAUCUCUUAAAGCUUCCUGUAUGACAUUAAAUUGUCCAUUAUCAGAAUCCAGUACGCAGGCCUCCUUAAAAUGUAUCAUCCUUUCUAAACUAGUAGCCUAGUAGGUGAGGACAAAAACACACCAAAUUUGAUGAUUUUCCUUUAAAGUUUCCAUUCAGAAUCGAUAAAAUGCACUGCCAGACAGAGAUACUUCACUGAGGCCUCAGCUCCAUGAGGAGCCCACACACUUUGCGGUAGCAUACGGGCAUACCCGCGAGCACAUGGCACGGCCGAAAAGCGAAAAUGCUUGCACGUGGCCCACGUUUUCUCCCACGAUUUCUCAUCCUUUUGUUUUGUCCUACUCGCUCCUGUAUCCAUCCAUCAUGUCCACCUAUAAGACCAAGGGCAAGCCUCCAGCCGUCGCUCCAGUUCCCUCCUGUCUCCCGGUCCAACUCAACUCUUGCCUUUUCCCUGCUUCCAUCGUCUCCUGCUCCUCAACUGCUGCAGGAUACAGCGUGAGGUACGUCAAAGUGUCCGCAGUUUGCAGUUUGUUUUCUUCUUGUGAAAACCUUUGGAUUUUUCAGUGGCUAUAAUGUCUUGCGAAAUUCCCCAAUUCUCUUCCGAGCAUCUCUUGGAUGUAGUGAUAAGCGUCAUGUUCUUUGCUGCUGCUCUAAUUAACAGGGAGCCGCGCAGCGCCGACGCCAAUGAGCACUCGGGGCAGCAGCAGGGCGAUGUACACCGGCCUGAUCAUCCUGUUGCUCGCUGUCGGCGCAGGCAUCAACUUCGGCAACUGCGACGGAUUAUCCGGCCCACUCCUCAGCUUCGUGGGGGUUGUCGCCGGCGCCAACAUGAUCGCCGCCGGCGUCAGGACGGCCGACGACCCAGCAGCACCCAUCGACCCCGCGCCCGCAGCGUUCGCCGGUGCACGUGCGUUCAUGCGGCGCAACCUCGCCGUCGUGGGGCUCGUCAUGGUUUCCUCUGCUUCCACAGCGGUUGCGGGGGAGACAGGCCCGGCGUUCUCCUUCAUGAUGUUUGUCCUGCUGGUGUUCGGGGUCUCUCUGAUCAACAUCGGAGUUCAUGGCACCUAGUCUGGUGUGUCAGCUUCGGUCCGUUGGUGCUCGCAUCGUUCUUCGUACGUUGACGUUCCCCUCAACUAUCUGUCAGUAAUCGCCGCCUCUGUCCACGGAUGGUUUUCAAGUAACAGCAAUAAAGGAAAUGGAAUUGGAAUUGGAAUUGGAAUUGCAUUUUUUUUCCAACCGAGGGAGUACUAUUUCUGAAUAAUCAACCAGUAUGUUUUUCCUUAAUUACUACGUGCUUUUUUGUACUUGAAUUACGUUGGUGUCGACCUGCUAUGUUUGUGAGCUCAAGUACCUUUUCACGGGAACAUGUGAUAUUCCAUCUCCAUGAUUUCACACCUGCUAUCCAAGUUGAGUAGCAGAAGAUCAACCUGCCCCUAUUUUUCAGCCGCCUUAUUCAAUUGCUUAUCCCGGCGCCACUUUUUGGUUGCUUUCCGAUCAUGGCCACUGCAGUACUACUAAGACCAUCCACCAGCUAAAAUUUAGCUGGUAAAUUUGGAUCCAAACAGGAAGAUGGAGCUGACGUGGGUGUAUGUCGGGAGAAGGGGGCAGGUGGCGUGCAUAUUGCGACGGACCACGACAGAGGCGGCGCGUUCGUAACGGGGUGGGGGUGUGUGGAUUGGGCCGGCGACGGCGACAGCGGACCGAAUGGACCACCUCGCCUUUUUUCCUCCCUUGUGCUUCAUCUAAGCCAUCGAUCCAUUGUUUGCCAAUUGUUCAGCACAUAUUUUUGAGAGUGUGGAUCCAACAAUCACUUAAAUAUUGGCCCAAACUGCCAAGAUGUUGGCCAAAUGUAUGCGCCAGCCAUUGGAAUGGACCACAGAGAGUCAAAUCUGCAAACUUUUUCAUGCGUGGAAGUUUGGGAUCCAAAUCCGUCUCCCUCAGAUUGGCAGACCAUCCUCAGGACAAAAUAUUUGAAUGCCAGACCGUCUCCCUCGUAUUGACGGACCGUCCGCAGUAUAAAACUCAGUCGACUCAAGUUUUGUGCAGAGAUUCUGGUAGGAGGCCCGGUGGCACAUCCCCAACCCGGUAUUAAUGUGCACCACAUUAGUACCGGUUGUUGAUCUUACCCAGUACUAAAGGUCCAAUGGCACAUUAGUAUAAUCAACCAGUACUAAUGUGCAUCAUUUAGUACCGGUUGGUGCCCCCAACCUGGUACUAAAGGGGCUUACGGGGCCACCCAGGGGAAGUAGCCGUUAGGCUCGGUAAUAGCAUUAGUACCGGAUCCAAUUACAACUGGUAAUAAGGUGCUGGACGAAAGGUCAUUUCUCUAAUAGUGAAAGAUGAAGAGGUUAUAUAAUAUUUCACAUAGUAUAAAACGGAAUAUAUUACGAGUAAAUGGUACCACACUACAACGAUUUGAAGGUGAGCCCAACGAGAAACCUCCAUCCUUAUCUCACCGCACCUUCCUCAUAACUAGCUGCAACUCAUGUUACUCAUCUCAGUUUAUUCCAAGUUGUAUGCAAAAAAUUGACAAGGGACCAGUCAGCUCCGUCCACUCCCAACCAAAUUAAACGUGAGAAACAACACCAAUUAAAGUAUAAGGAUCAUCCUAUCUUAGGAAAGAUGAUGUAGCCCGGCUCCAGCCCCAGGCUCUCCGGGAUCGCCGCGUACAGCCUGAGCCCGAGCUCCCGGACCUCCUUGCCGUAGAUGCUCAUCGUCUCCCUGAAUGACAAAGGGACCGUGCCGGUGUCAGGAUUCAGAAAUACUAAUCCACAAUCAGCGGCGGGUUGGACGACGGCCAGUCGGGCACGAACUGGUCGAUGGGAUGGCAGUGAAGCCGGAGGUAGUCGCGCAAGUUGUGCACCGUCUCCUUGCGCACGUUGAAGCUCGUGGACAGGCGAAUCUUCCUGGCAGGGUCGUCGGAGUAGAGCUUGGCUUUCUCCUCCGCGGGCAGCUGGAAGAACUCCCGCGAUCAGGCCGGCGUCUAUCCCGUGGUUCAGGACCAGCAUAUACAAGAAAUCGUGGGUCACUGUCAACGAAAUAAAGCUUUGCCGGCGGCAAGCCAAUUUCUACGGCCCCGGGCGUGCGUGUCACCUGGAAGAAGCCGUGCGUGCGGCAGCAGGCGCCGCCGAUGGCGGCGACGACCGCAGCGCGGUCGGGGCACGCCAGAUCGACGACGGGAACGCACGCGCCGGAGACGACCUCGGCGAGGUGCGGGCGCUGCGACUCCGGCCGGACGUAGUUCCCGCGGCAUGGUGCGGUGCACCGCCAUGGAGAGGAGGUGCUCCUCCGCCAUGUGUGUUCAACGCGAGCCGACGACGGAGCUCUUGCGUGCGUGCGCGAAGCGGGGAGGAGCCGGGCAGCUGGCCUUCGACAUGGGACUCUCAGGGAGGCGGGUCAGCACGCGCUCUUAUAGCGGCCGGUCGAAGCGCGCGGGCGAGCAGCGUGUGGUGUGGUGACCGCGGCGUGGCAAGGCGCGGGCCAAGCCGCUGAUGCUGACCCCCGCGGUCGUUGGGUCGCGUCAUCACCGCGGCGGCUAGUGACAUCAAGCCGUUGGGUCGCGUCGUCACCGCGGCGGCCAGUGACAUCAAGUCGUGCGUCAUCACCGCAGCAAGUCGUUGGGCCGCGUCAUCACCGCGGCGGCCAGUGACAUCACGUCGCGGCGUUGUAUGCUUGGGCAAUGAAGACGGACGAAACGAAGACGACAACAAUGAAUUUUUUUUUGCAUAAUGUCUUGAGUAUAUGAUUAAAUUCAGAAGUUAAGAAUAGGAAAAAAAAACUCUCCAAAACUGUAUCACACGAUGACACAAGCAGGCAGCACGCAAUACAUGGAGAUGUUAGAAGCAAACCAUGAAUGAUUACAAAAGAUGGCAUCAAGCUGCACAGAUAUUUUAGAUUUUGGCACAAAAGACCAUGGCUUCGCAUGUUCAGUCUAGCUAUAUGACUAUACUAAAACUCUUCGUGGAAGGCAACACAUUCUUUUUUUUAUUUAUUAUCUUAUAUUAAGAUGACAAUCUAUAUUGUGCUUUUCAAUCGAAAACAUCAAGUAACAUUGUACCAUUGCUCUAAAAAAUAUUGCAACAACAUGUUGUAUGCUUUAAAUAAUAUUGAUUGAGCACUUUGUUAUUUGAUCUUGGAAAACUUAUAUACCCUUUUUUUUUAGCUAUCAGUGCCUCAAGUCUUUUUCUAUCUUUUUUUAUCUUUUUAACUUUCGAUUCUAAACUUGUUAAUUAGGCUAGCUUUUAUUUUGUUUUAGACCACCUCGAUAUCAUAUCAUUUUGUCCUCCACCUCAUGUUGCUAUGCAUUUUCAUGUUAUUUUUCUUUUCUUUUUUUCAUCAAAGCCUUUUGCACCUCCGUCUGGGCUCAAAUUCAGAUGGUUGCAGAUCACAUGAGCACCUUCCUAGAGGAAUUGAUACUCCAAUCUCUUAAGACAAAUCUCAGUUUGUCUUCUCCUAAGGAUGGAGUAGUACUUAUGUGCCUUAUGAAAGCAGUUUCAAGCUACCUAAAAUAAGUAGACAUUUGUAAGCUGGUCAGGUUCGACGAGGAGUACACCGAGCACAUCCUGCGGAUGGGCCCUCCCAUGCCCUUCCGCCGCAUGCGCGCCGAGCUCAUGGACAAGAAUAAUUUUAGGAAAAUUGCAAACAGAUACUCAAAGCAUGACGCUUUCAUCAAACUAUGCACGUGAUUGCAUUUUAUCCAAUGCUCCCAGACAGUAUUAUCUUACAUCAUCUCUCAGAAGAGAGAGUAUUGCAUUACAUGGCCAGAGGAAAGGACACCUGGACUAUAGUAGCGCAGCUUCAUUAUUUGAGCGCACACGGCAUGAGAAUGAUUCAACAUCAGCAAGCACAUAGCCACACAGUAGCAGUAGUUACCUGCAACAACCCAAUUGGGAAACUAGGAACAGAGCUUGAACCAAAUCAUCAAUCGAGCAUCAAUGCAUCUGGGAGAGGCCAAGAAUCCCAACGCUGAUCAGGGAGAGGCCGAGGAGGAGCAGAGCAAACAUGCCGAAGCAGAGCACCUGGCCUGCUUCGCCGGAGACCGCCGGGCAACAUCGCAUCAGCAGGUUGACGUUGCAGAGGUGGCGGCCGGGCAAUUUCGCGCGUCAACCUGCUGAUGCGUCAACCUGCUGAUGCGUCAACGUCGCGCGGUCAGGCGGAGGUCUCUCAAAUCUAUCUCUAGUCAGUCUCUAUAUAUGCAGAGACAUACCAGCUACUAACUAGCCUACCAGCCUCAGCUCAGCUUCCAGCAAGGCACUUCAAACCACCUGCUGCCAUAUUCGGCAACGCUUCCCUCCCCGGUGCGGCAGUGCUCGACGGCCCUCUCCGACUGCGGUGCCACGCGGCCGACGAUGACCACUCCGGGCACCACGGCGAUGUUCGCCGGCCUCGCCAUCUUGCUGUUCUCCGUCAGCGCCGGAUUCAAUUCCGGCGCCGGCGCGUUCGGCUUGCUACUCUGCUUCGCGGGGGUUCUCGCUGGUGCCAACAUCGUCGCCGUCGGCAUCCGGAUGUCCGGCGCCUACCUGGCGCCCGUCGUCCCGGCGGUGUUGGCCGAGGCGCGUGCUCUCGCAGAGUUCCUUCGUCGCAACCUCGCCGUCGUGGGGCUCGUGAUGGCUUCCUGCGCCGUCACGGCGGUCUCCGGCGAAGCAGGCCAGGAGCUCGGCUUCGGCAUGUUUGCUCUGCUCCUCCUCGGCCUCUCCCUGAUCAGCGUUGGGAUUCUUGGCCUCUCCCAGAUGCAUUGAUCCUCGAUUGAUGAUUUGGUUCCUGCUGUCAAAGUAUUCUUGCUGUCAUUCUCAUGCCGUGUGCGCUCAAAUAAUGAAGCUGCGCUACUAUAGUCUAAGUGUCCUCCUUUCCUCUGGCCAUGUAAUGAAAUUUUAAUUCCCAAUCACUGCUUUGGCUAUCAGUGUGCUGCCCAGUCUUGGAAUAGCAAUUUGCAGAACGUGUUCUUCUCAAAAUCGUUGCUGGAUCUGGUGUUGUCUCAUCAGAGCGUGCUCUCGAUCGAAACGGAUCAGAGCGUGUUCUCGAGUACCUGGCGUUGAACGGUUUGAACGUGUUCUUCUCAAGAUCAGUUGUCCCAUCAGAGCGUGCUCAGCCGCUUUAGCAAUCAAUUGCUUUUAUCCAUUCCAGUCUUUCCUGAAGCUCCCUUUGCGACGGGAGAUCUUCUCGACGACUUGACGCGUACUUAUGCGGAUUGGACUCGAGUGCGUUCAGGCCGGCGGAUGCUCAAGUCCGUCCCUGUCGCGUCUGCCCGACCGCCAGCCAGGCAGCAAGCCCACGACGCAACAGCGGGCCCCGCGGAGGUGGCACACUGGCACGAUCCCAAGCCCGACCGACUCGAGCGUGACAAUUUCCGACAAAAAAACGACAAGAUCGAUGAUUAAGAAAAAGGAUCGAGUUGAGCCGCACGCACGAUGAUUAAACGGAUCAGUUCAGAAACGGCACACGCGAGGACCGGCCGGCCGACCAGCGGCGCACGAGCGCGCGAUUCCGUAAGGCUCGGCCCACGCGCUGUCCUUGACGCCAGUGAGCUAGUGGCGGUGGCGGGAAGUUCCCUUAUGUAGCGGGAAAAAAAAAUACAAAUUGCUGAUCUGAUGCUACUAAUUUGUGUUGUGUGGUAACAGUUCGGUCUUCCUUUGUGAUGGUACCUUUUUAUGCUGUUUGUGGUACAGAUGUGCUCAUCUUGGUAUAGGUUUCUUCUUCCAUUAUAAGUUUGCUUCUGUGAUGUUUGCUGGUCAUUAGGAGCUGAGUGGCCUCUUGAUCAAUUUUCUGCGCACAGGUUGCAUAAAACUUAGAAUAAACCGAAAUUUCUUCUCGCCCUCGGUGGUGGCAACGCCGCUGCCAAGUGCCAAUCGCGCUGCCGUCGCCGGCGACCUCCUCCUAGGCUCCUUGGACUUGGCGCGCUCCUCCAGCACCAAAUUGGAAACCGUCGCCGCCAAAUCGUUGUAUACUAUUAUAUAACCUCUUCAUUUUGUUGAGGAACUUUAUAUCAUGACAAUUGACAUGUACGUUGCGUUCAUGUGUGUUGCUAACAAGUCAUGUACGUUUUGUUGAGGAUCAGUUCAGCUGAUGAACAUAUAUCCUCACAAUAUGAAGCGCAUGCGUCCUCUGAAACUCUGAAUAAAAUCUGACUGAACAAGUCAUGUACUCCUACGUUGCAAGUGCUGCUGCUGGGCGUACUGUUCAAUCUGAAUCUGAUUUGUGACACGCUAACGCUGUCGGCCAAUCACCUUCAGGUCAUCAUCUGAUAGAGAUAGACACUUAAGUGUGAACGUUCUUCAAUUCAGGUAGUCCACAUUCAGAGUCGCAACUGGCAAUUUUUUUUUUCAAUAAUCACAAUUCGCAACUUUGGAACCGAGCAAGUGCCAAAUAAUCGGGGCAUGGUGUACCCAAACUGGCUAUAUGCUUUGUCAUCAUUUCAAUUCUAUAGACACGUUCGUUCUCAAUUCUCUCUCCGUAACGUGUCACUAAUCCAUUAACCUAAUUCUCAAUUUCUCAAUUGCCUGCCGUGAUGCCAUCCAAAAGUCACCAUCCGGCCGAAUGGGAUUCCCGAGUCCGGGGGCGUCCACCUGACUGACCCUCUCAACGCAGCUUCACAAUUAACAGCAGAAGCUGGCAUUGCCAGGACAUCACGUGCCAUAAUUGACAGGGUUGGAUACUUUGUAGAAUUACUCAUCCACCAGUUCAGAAUAUCGAAAUCAUCCUUUCUCGGGACAAGACCAUCUUCAAGGUAGCUGUCAAUUUCUGUCAUUAGUUGGCUCCUUGUCUGUGCAUUAAGAUGCUCAUCCCAAUCUUCCAAUGAAUCACUAUCAAAACCAUCAAACUCAACAAUACGAGCUUCACGAGUUGAUGUGUCAAGCCCCGACUUCUCUAAAGGACCACAAUAUUCAUGGAACAGCUCCCUUAUUGCAUCACGCACGGCAGAUACAUACUUCUCUGCAUCAGUACCAAAAGCUCGCUUUAGAUGGAACUCAAUAAAAGUAAUUUUGAAUCUCGGAUCAAGAACAACAGGUAUUGACAGCCACACGUAUGAACUUUGCCAAUACUCAUUGAACGCUUCUUGCAUCACCCAAACCAUGUUAGCAAGUUCAGUGUGAUCAGAGGAUGCUUCUUCUUGCAAAGUUGUUCUAACUUUCCAUAGUUCAUUGAAGUAUAUAUUUGCUGUGGAGCAAACACGACCAGAAAUUACUUCAACAGCACGAUAAAAAGCCCUCAGUAUCCUGCAAACAGAUUCCACAGUUUUAGUAUCUUCUGCAGAUAACAAUUCUUCUGAGGGGAAUGCCUUCUUGAAAUGCAGAAAAACUUCAAGCCUGAAGUAAAAUUUAUGCCACCAUUUCGCAUCCUCCUGUGGGCACUUCAAUCCAAUAUGUGUAACAGCUUCUAAAUAUCUCUUACCAUGGAGAAAUAGGCCAUGGAGAAUAUGUGUAACAACUUCUAAAAGCUGAAUAUUUCAGCGUCUUGGUCAAAUUUCCUGCUUAUAUCUGCAGCAGUCUGAGCUGAUGUGGUAUUUUGUUCUGUGGAAUUCGUCUCAUCCAUUGCCGGCAAAGCUAGAAAGAAUGUGACGUUCCACUGGGCUUCUAUUACCAGAACGCCCUUGAGGAACUGGCCUUCUAGCAUACUCUGCCGGGUUGCUGCUGGAUAUAUCAGGCGCGGAGAAGGAUCUGGGAAGUUUCCUUUUGUCAUAGUUUCAAUAUAUAUUGAUCCUAUUGUUUUCCGGCCAUAUCCAACCGCCCCACGUCAUGUCCCAGCCGAACAACGUCAUGUGCCCACCUAUAAGACCUUGGCCCAAGCCUCCAGCGUCGCUCCAGUUCCCUCCUGUCCUCCGGUCCAACUCUUGCCUUUCCCUGCUUCCCUCGUCUCCUGCUCCUCAACUGCUGCAGGAUACACCGUGAGGUACCUCAAAGGGUCCGCGGUUUGUUUUCUUCUUGUGAUUGUGGAAACCUUUGGAUUUUUCAGUGGCUAUAAUGUCUUGUGAAAUUCCCCAAUUCUCUUGCGAGCAUGGAUGCAGUGACGCCAAUGAGCACUCGGGGCAGCAGCAGGGCGAUGUACACCGGCCUGAUCAUCCUGUUGCUCGCUGUCGGCGCAGGCAUCAACUUCGGCGACUGCGACGGAUUAUCUGGCCUACUCAGCUUCGUGGGGGUUGUCGCCGGCGCCAACAUGAUCGCAGCCGUCGUCAGGACGGCCGACGACCCAGCAGCACCCAUCGGCCCCGCGCCCGCAGUGUUCGCCGGUGCACGUGCGUUCAUGCGGCGCAACCUCGCCGUCGUGGGGCUCGUCAUGGUUUCCUCUGCUUCCACAGCGGUUGUGGGGGAGACAGGCCCGGCGUUCUCCUUCAUGAUGUUUGUCCUGCUGGUGUUCGGGGUCUCUAUGAUCAACAUCGGAGUUCAUGGCGCCUAGUCUGGUGUGUCAGCUCCGGUCCGUUGGUGCUCGCAUCGUUCUUCAUACGUUGACGUUCCCCUCAACUAUCUGUCAGUAAUCGCCGCCUAUGUCCACGGAUGGUUUUCGAGUAACAGCAAUAAAGGAAAUGGAAUUGGAAUUGGAAUUGCAAUUUUUUUUAACCGAGGGAGUACUAUUUCUCAAUAAUCAACCAGUAUGUUUUUCCUUAAUUACUACGUGCUUCUUUGUACUUGAAUUACGUUGGUGUCGACCUGCUAUGUUUGUGAGCUCAAGUACCUUUUCACGGGAACAUGUGAUAUUCCACCUCCAUGAUUCCACACCUGCUAUCCUAGUUGAGUAGCAGAAGAACAUCCUGCCCCUCAGAAACUCGAAGCGAAGAGAAAAUCAUCGAAGGAGGGGAUGCGCGGGCCAGCUCCGGCACUGCAAGUCUUUCGGGGAGCGUUGGAGGAAACAGGAGAGUGGAGGAGUGGCCGGGUGGAUGGGAUCGUUGGGUUAGAGCACCUCUAAGAGCCCUCUUAAAAUAACCUGAAUCAGAUUUAAGGAGGAAAAAAAGGAAAAAAUUAACCUCCAAUUCUCGUAACUGUUGAAACCGGAAAAUAAUACCUAUAUAUUCGAAAAAAUUCCAACGGCUCCCUCGAAACUUCCCCAGCUCUUCGCGGUGCCAAAACAGAACCCGUAGCUGCAUAUAUUUGCGCGAUUUUCCUCCUCCCCGAUCUUUCUUCCCGCGCGAGAGUCUUCCGACGGCGGGGUGAGGGGCGGCCGCGUGUGUGUGUGUGGGGGGGGGGGUGGCGCUUCAUUAUCUCUGAACAGAUAGCUUUUCACUGCAUGUCAGGUAAACUGAAUACAUGAGCCAACAAUUGUGCGUGCAUUUGCGUGUGCUGCAACUGCAAGCCUGCAGCUGAGCACUUCUAUUGGUGUGGCUGAAAACAACGCUGUGCCCGGGGGGAGGGGCGGCGCUGGAGAUCAGGGAGGUGCGUGCGUGAGGGGCAGGUGACCAGCCCAACUAAUAGGUCCAAUUAUGAUGAUGUGGUCUGUUUUGAAAUAUUAGGUGUUAGUUAUUAGCGAUCUGCUGUGGGUUGAUAUGUUUUUUGGGCAAAAUUUUUUUGGAAGAGCCCCUAAUACAUAGUUAUCGGAGAAAAAAAUUUAGGGUACUUUUGAAGUUGCUAUUAGUAGUUAGUCGAGACACGUGUGAUGGCUGGAGUGGGAUAGCAAGGCACAAAUUACCCGCGUGCUCGUGGGCAAAAACCAUGUAGGGUAAGGAUACGUGUUUAAAUUUAUGCCUACGGGUAUGGUUGCGGGUUUGUAUUUAUGCCCAACGGGCAAAAUAUCGCGGGCGUAAAAAAAUUGUAACCGUACCCGCUCUAUCUGCAAACCCGCUAAAUCCUCUGACACGUAAACCCUGCAUGUAGGUAUAUAAAAGAAGGCAUGUGCCAUUUCAUGUUCCCAUCCUUCUUUCUCUUCCCAAGUCUCCAACCGCAGCACCAAGCGGCGGCGGCGGCCACUCAGGCACCGCAGGGCCCGCGCCCCGUGCCUCCCGCUCCUCCCAGGCGCUCAAACUGCUCAAGCGGACCCUACCUCGCCGGAGCCAGGACGCAGCGACGCCGGUUUCUCCCCAAGGCUCGUCCCCCAGAGCCAUCCCUCCGCUGCAGUCCAAUCCAAGCGCAACCACCUGAUGGAUCCCCCCCCUUUGUUGCUGCAUCUUUGCAUCCCCCUUUAUUUAUUCAAGGAUGGUCAUGUUCUUGGGUGCAUACCCGCGGGCACAUGGCACGGCCGAAAAGCCAAAAUGCUUGCCCGUGGUGGGUGGCUGUUCCACGCGUUUUCUCCUCCGGGUUCUCCUCCUUGCCAGUCCUACUCGCUCCAGUCUCCAUCAUGUCCACCUAUAAGACCAAGGGCAAGCCUCCAGCGUCGCUCCAGUUCCCUCCUGUCUUCCGGUCCAACUCAACUCUUGCCUUUCCCUGCUUCCCUCGUCUCCUGCUCCGUGAGGUACGUCAAAAGGUCAGAACCUUUGGAUUUUUCGAAAUUCCCCAAUUCUCUUGCGAGCAUGGAUGUAGUGAUAAGCGUCAUGUUCGUUGCUGCUGCUCUAUUUAACAGGGAGCCGCGCAGCGCCGACGCCAAUGCCAAUGAGCCUUACUCGGGGCAGCAGCAGGGCGAUGUACACCGGCCUGAUCAUCCUGUUGCUCGCUGUCGGCGCAGGCAUCAACUUCGGCGACUGCGACGGAUUAUCUGGCCCACUCCUCAGCUUCCUGGGGGUUGUCGCCGGCGCCAACGUGAUCGCCGCCGGCGUCAGGACGGCCGACGACCCAGCAGCACCCAUCGGCCCCGCGCCCGUAGCGUUCGCCGGUGCACGUGCGUUCAUGCGGCGCAACCUCGCCGUCGUGGGGCUCGUCAUGGUAUCCUCUGCUUCCACAGCGGUUGCGGGGGAGACAGGCCCGGCGUUCUCCUUCAUGAUGUUUGUCCUGCUGGUGUUCGGGGUCUCUCUGAUCAACAUCGGAGUUCAUGGCGCCUAGUCUGGUGUGUCAGCUCCGGUCCGUUGGUGCUCGCAUCGUUCUUCAUACGUUGACGUUCCCCUCAACUAUCUGUCAGUAAUCGCCGCCUCUGUCCACGGAUAGUUUUCGAGUAACAGCAAUAAAGGAAAUGGAAUUAGAAUUGGAAUUGCAUUUUUUUUAACCGAGGGAGUACUAUUUCUGAAUAAUCACCAGUAUGUUUUUCCUUAAUUACUACGUGCUUCUUUGUAAUUCAUGAAUUACGUUAGUGAGCUCAAGUACCUUUUCACGGGAACAUGUGAUAUUCCAUGUCCAUGAUUCCACACCUGCUAUCCAAGUUGAGUAGCAGAAGAUCAUCCUGCCCCUGCUUUUGACGCCAGGAGUCGAGACACAAGACGUAUCCAUGUGGGUCCCGGCGCUGACCUGCGAGAUCCAACGCCACUUUUCGGUUGCAUCCCGAUCAUGGCCACUGCAGUACUAAGACCAUCCAAACAGGACAGCGAUGGAGCUGACGUGGAUGUCUGUCGGGAGAACGGGGUGGGUGGCGUGCAGAUUGCGACGGACCACGACAGAGGCGGCGCGUUCGUAACGGGGUGGGGGGUGUGCCGAUUGCGCCGGCGACGGCGAAAGCGGACCGAAUGGACCACCUGGCCUUUUUUUUUUUCUCCCUUGUGCUUCGUAUAAGCUAUCGAUCCAUUGUCCAAGAUUGUUCAGCGCAUAUUUUCGAGGAUGUGGAUCCAUCAAUCACUUAAAUAUUGGCCCAAACUACGAAGAUGUUGGCCAGAUGUAUGCGCCAGCUAUUGGAAUGGACCACCGAGAGUCAAAUCUGCAAACUUUUUUCAUGCCUGGAUUUUUGUAUGCGCCAACCAUUGUAUGCGUGGAUUUAGGAGGGUUUGAUACUAAUUAGGAGUAUUAAAUAUAGUUUAAUUAUAAAACUAAUUGUAUAAAUGGAGUCUAAUUCGCAAGAUGAAUCUAUUAAGCCUAAUUAGUCCAUGAUUUGACAAUGUGAUGCUACAGUAACCAUUUGCUAAUGAUGGAUUAAUUAGGCCUAAUAGAUUCACCUCGCGAAUUAGUACAGGAGUAACCAUUUGCUAAUGAUGGAUUAAUUAGGCUUAAUAGAUUCACCUCGCGAAUUAGUACAGGAGUUCUACAGUUAGUUUUAUAAUUAGCUCAUGUUUAGUCCUUCUAAUUAGCAUCCGAACAUCCGAUGUGAUCCUCCUAAAGUUUAGCACCUCGUAUCAAACACCCCCUUAGUUGGUGGAUCCAGACACAUCUAGCUAAAAUUUAGCUAGCCAAGGUAAACUUAAUAAAUUUUAACCAGCUAAAGUUUAGAUGGGUGGAUCCAAACCUGAUCUUGUUGGAAAAUUAGGCAAUUGUAUGAUUAAAUUCUGAACUAUAUUUCUGAUAAAAAGAAUUAAACCUAGCAUGCAGGACUCUAACAUACUAGGCAAUAGCAGGAACGACAUCAUGUUCUCAUAAAACAUGCUAAAAUAAUAGAUCAAAUCACAUCGUACGUACUCAGCGAGCGCAGCCGUGAUGGGAAGCGGUGCUGACGGAACGACGACGGUGUUGCGGAUGGAGCGCAGCAGACGACGCUGAAGACGACGAGCUGCCGCAGCGCCGGACUUGGUCGAAAGACGAGCCGUGGUGAAGACCUUGAGCAGUCGCGCUGAGCGCUUCUUAAAAACUUUAUUCGCCCUCUCCCGGUGUAGGAUCACAAGAGCGAGAGGUUUCGGAGACCUACUCUCCCGUUCGCCGGUGCACGCCGACACUCAGGAUGGAGUAGAUUACGGUGGCGGCGCAACAACGAGAAGAGGCAAAAACCUAACUCGUACAGACCACCUUGGGGAUACCCUAACUUGGGGUCUUCCCGUAUAGUAGUCUAUAUUGCGUCUAUUCCAUGAGGGAGGUGGUCCAUAUAUAUAGGGAGGAAAAGCCCCAACACCCUCGUUUAUUAGCAAUAUGGGACUAAUAGAUGGUGUACCCCCUCUUACGCUAAUAUGCCUUUGAGAUUUAUUCAGAAUUAUCGCCCAUAUAUCUAAUAGAUCUACGGGGGUGUUUGGGAGACCAGGGCUAAACUUUAGCCCCUAUCACAUCGGAUAUUUGAUACUAAUUAGGAGUAUUAAAUAUAAGUUAAUUAUAAAACUAAUUGUACAAUCCCUAGGCUAAAUCACGAGACGAAUCUAUUAAACCUAAUUAGUUCAUGAUUUGACAAUGUGGUGCUACAGUAACUAUUCACUAAUAAUGGAUUAAUUAGGCUUAAUAGAUUCGUCUCGCGAUUUAGCCUAGCGGUUCUGCUAUUAGUUUUGUAAUUAGCUCAUAUUUAGUCCUCCUAAUUAGGGCGAGUUUGGCAGGGCUCCUCGCGAGGGGCUCCUCGUGCGGAGCCGGAGCCGGAGCCGUGGAGCCACUUUUUUGAGCUCCUUCAUGCAGGCCUAAAACGGCUCCGGCUCCUCCCAAAUGUGCCAAAAAAUGGCUCCGCGGUCAAUGCCGUUUGGUGCGGCUCCGGCUCCUUCGUGCUUCGGUAAGCGCACGGAGCCGGAGUCGGAGCCCUGCCAAACUGGCCCUUAGUAUCCAAAGAUCCAAUGUGAUAGGGCUAAAGUUUAACCCCUCCUUCCCAAACAAAGCCUAAAUUGAUUGCCGCGGUCAGUGUGUACCUUGCUGAACUCCGCCUGCGCGAGCACCAAGUGAUGGCAGAUUUUACCCUAUCAGUAGAUCGGUCGUAGACUCAUGGAGUCGUAGUGACUGCGGCAGUGGCGAAACUGGAGCUAGCCACAAUUCAGCAUAACUUGCAUGAGCAAAUGAGGUACACGGUAACGUGCUGCUGCAGGACAGCAGGAGGAAGAACAGUGAACAUGGAAGAACAUCCAGCUGCUUGUUACUGCUGACGCCGGACCGGGGUCGCCGGCCAGCAGGCCUGGGCUUCGGCUGGCUUUGCCGAACGGACCGGAGCCCGAGCCCGUCACGUUGCGCCCAGCCGUCCACCCCGGGGCCGGUUUCGGACGUGGCUAGGGACUCGCCACAAGAUAGGAAAAACUCGAAGGCAGUGGUCCCGUGCCACGGAACGUACCGCCAGCCCCUUGCUCCGAUUCCCUGCCUCCCAGAGCCUGCAUCUGCCGUGAAUGGAUCGAAGCAGCUAAAGAGGAAAUGGAUUUUUCAUUUUCUUGGGUUCCUCGUGUCCCCAUCCACUGAAGUUCUCUGAAUAUUUGGAUCCUGCCUCUGAAUCUCUGAUGCUCUAAAAGUUUUCUUGGACGCCUCCAAAAAAGAAUUCGAUUAUGGUAAAUUUGAAAUCCGUUCCUGACUUCCUGUUGCACAAAAAGGAUCACAGGAACCAACGGUCCUUGCAAUUGCAGUUCUAGAAGUUCAUCGCUAAUAAGAGUCUCUGAUAUUGUAAACAUAUUAAAGAGCUCAUUUCCAACACAUACUUAUCCUGAAAAGUAAGACCCUUUCUCAGAAAACAAUUUUGUUGUGUCUCUGGCAUGCGGCUCUGCAUGUGUGAUUGCUGAUUUUACCUUCUGCAUAGCUGGAAUUAUCUAGAGUUGAAUUGGUGAAAAAUGAAACUGUCCCCAGUUUUUUCCCUUAAACAUGUUAGCACUGUCCUAAGUUUUAGAUUAAGGAAAAGAUCCGCCUCAACCAAGCACUGUCCUAAUUGGCUGCGCAAUAGUGCUAUAAGCCUACCAUUACGUAACUAGGGCAUUAUUCACGCUGUUUAGCAGGUAUUGAUGAAUUAUGCACUUUGGAACUUUGCAAAACUACUGUUUUGCCAGAACACUGAAUGCAUGUUCACCAUGUUCUUCCUUCCCUUCUGUUCUAGUCACUCAACCUUUUCUUUUGAUGUGAAAGAAAGUUAGUCCCUCACAUUUGGGGUGCAAAUUAUCCGUCUCCAUUUCAAUGAAAUGGCUUGCAGCUUUGUGGAAGUGAUCACAUAUAACACAGAGAAGCUUCGGAAGCUAGGGUGGACCUACAGGCCUAUGGAGGAAACCAUCCGGGAGAGCGUCGAAUGCUACCGAGGUUUGGGCAUCCUGAACUGAGCAUCCAUCCAGGCUGGGACACCUUUGCCAGCUUUGGCUACUAGCAAACUGUUUGUGUUGACAGGCAAACAUGCAAACUGUUUGUGUCGACUGCACGGUGCGAGGUAGUGCACAUGUUGAGAUUCAGAACGCCAUCGUUUCAGAGUCGUCUCUAGGCUUUUAGGCUGCAGAGCAUGCAGUAUUCUAUGAGGAUUACUUGUUGUGUGUUGUAAAUUUGUGAGUACAGAGUUGAACUGCCAAUUCAGAGUUUUCAAGAACAAAUCCAAUUGGCAGGUCAGUUUCCAGGCCAAAUGUGCACUUCCUGAUUGCUGACAUGGGCUUUAUGGCCAGACACAACAUAUUUGAUGAUACUUAUGUGCCCACAAACUUGCUAUCUGAAAAUAUUUCAGGUUAGCCUUCAGGCUUUUUUUGGGUGCUGAGUAGGAUUCAUUUUUUGGAGAUGGCUGAAAAGAACUUUUUCAUGAAAUUUGAGCUGUAAAAAAAGAGCUUUUUUACGGUACACAAUACUAUCUUAUACUACUGUUCGAAAAGGACUUACAGGAUCCGACGGUUGAGAUUAAUUGUAUACUACUGAAACCUUAAGCUGUAGUAUAGAUAGUAUGCAUGAGUAGUAUGGAUAGUAUAGUGGUAUGAUUGAAAAUAUGUAAAAUGACAUUGUUGGGAGAUUGACGGGCGCCACGGCCUGCGGGUGGUGGCGGCGGCCGAGCGCUGUCAGAUGGACGGGCUCUGUGUGCGGGCGGUGGCAGCAGCCGAGUGGGAAAAUGCCGUGUAGAAAAAAAAUCCCCGAAUAAUAUAUGUUGUGCUAAUUACAAUUUUACUCAUACUAAAAAUAAGUUAUACUUUAUACUACCACCAGGUAGUAUCGUGCACCGUAAAAAAGCUCGUAAAAAUAAUGUCGGUGGCUCUCUGAUGCUGCUGAAGGGAUUGGAGCAGUCAAGCAGGACUCAGUAGCUUGUACAGCAACACAUUUUCAAAUCUUUCUUUACUUUCAUCAUAGGGCCAAGGUUAAGCAUGGUGAGCGAGAGGUAACAGGGCAUCCGUAUUGAAUGGAAUAUUUUCAAGGAAUAAUGUAUUUGGAAGGUACCCCAGUACAUACGGCAGUACAUUACUGCCCAUGCCUAACUAUUUUAGCACCAUGUGCUAAGCAUGAUUUUGGCACGUACGUGACGUCUGCUUUAAUUUGAUGGCUGUACAUGCGCCUAAGCAGUUCGUUCAAAAAGAACAAUUACCAGAAACGAAGAGUGCUGAAGGCUAUUCUAAACCCAAAUACACAACGGCUGCAUCGCUCUUCAGUCUGGACGCAAGACGGCAGGAGUCAGCCGGGCAUUGAGACGGCCGGAGAGCAACGGACUGAGCAGAGGGAGAAAAAGCAUGGCGGCGCCGGCGAGGAGCACGGUGUGCGUGACCGGCGCGGGAGGGUUCGUGGCGUCGUGGCUCGUCAAGCUCCUCCUCUCCACCGGCCACUACGCCGUCCGCGGCACCGUGCGCGAUCCCAGUACGUAACGUAACCACACCCUCGCCGCCGGCCUUGCUCCCUGCCGGGAAGCUUCUGAUGGCAAAACAGGGCCCUGGAUUCUGCAAGCAGUUGACAAGGCACUGGAUACACUAAUUCCAGCAUGAAACAUUCGGUGUGUAGGUGGUGGCGAGAAUGCUCAUCUCAUGGCGCUGGAAGGUGCCGGGGAGAGGCUUCGGUUGGUCAAGGCUGACGUACUGGAGUACGGCAGCGUGGCGUCGGCAAUCGCCGGCUGUGAUGGUGUCUUCCAUGUAGCCAGCCCUGUGCCGUCCGGCCCAUGUCCCAACCCUGAGGUGAAACAACUUAGGGCUUGUUUGGCACCGCUUUAGCCGGCUUCGGUUUCAGCACUGUAGUGCAUCUAGCACGUGCCAAAGUCGGAGUCGGAGCUGGGGAAGUUAUUUUUUUUGCUUCACCGGCUUCCUCUCUUCCCCAUUCAUUUUGUGCCUCGGUUUGCGUUUUGACUUUAUACUACAGUGCAACACAGUAGUACUAUGUUUUCUUUUUUUUUCUUAUUAGUUUCUGUACAUUGUUUCUCUUUUUUCCUGAUAAGUGUACAACAUCGUAAGGACUUUUUUUAGGCAGGGGGUGUAGAGCUAGCUUCGUAGAAACCUUUUCGGAUUCAAAUUUUUUGGAAAAAUAUGAUUUGAAAAUAAACUCCUACAAAACAAUUUAAGCUGAUUUUUUUUCGACAUCAUCAAUUGGCACGCUAAGAGUAUGUAAUUUCUGCACGAUUGUUUUGUUUUGAUAAACUAGGUGAAAGCUUUAGAAUCGCUUGAAAUGGUCAUUUAAUCGUGUUUGAUUUGUUUGGUUCAUUUACUAGCCGCACAUAAGUUUUCUGUGUAUAUGUUGUUCUUUUGAUGAUAUUUCCAUGUGUCUGCUCCUCCUUCCAAUGCAAAAUAUAUGAAAUAGGAUAUCAGUGUUACUAAUCAAACCAGGCUUUCUAGCUCUUUGUGGGUGAUACCAGUCUUAUUCUCCCUCUAUUUAUUUUUUACAAAACAUAUUUUAUUUCUUUAGGACAAAUCUUUUGCCAACAAUUACUCUGCUAAUAUGUAAUUUAUGUGAUAUAAACUUAUAACAUAAGUAAGUAUUUUAAUACAAAUCUAAUAACAUCAACUUGUGAUACAAAAUUAUGUAUUAAUAGAGUAAAUGUUGGUAAAAGUCUUUGUUCUAGCGAAACUAAAAUACGUCUUAUAAAGGUAGAUAGAGGAGCACCAGUUUUUGUCUUCUUCAAGUACACUAAGUACAUACUUAGUACUUCCUCUAUCUACCAAUAUAACGCAUAUUUUGAGUUUUUGACUAGGGAAAAGUCAAAUUUAACCAACAAUUUAUCAAAUUAUUUACAUUUUAGUGUAUAAAAACUAAAACAACAGAUUUGCACUCAAAGUAGUUUUAAGAUGGUGUUGAUUUUGUAGCAAGUGACCAUAUAUUAUACCAGAAAUUAGGAGCCACAAUCAAAAUACAUCUUAUAUAUUGAUGGACCGGGGUAGUACUUGUCAAUUUGUUAGAAAUAACUAGUAGUUAUGGUGUUCUAUUACCUCCUGAGACUACCUUUUACAAUCCGCGUUGCAGGCAGAUGUCUUAGCUGCUACUGUAACUGGCACACUGAAUGUGUUGAAAGCUUGCUACGAGGCAAAAGUUAAGCGAGUUGUGGUGGUAUUUUCAUUUGUUGCCGUGGGUUUCAAUCCCUGGCCCAAGGGCAUCGCCUUCAACGAAGAUAGCUGGUCAGAUGAGGAGUACUGCAGAAAGCAUCAGGUAUAUCAUAGUAGGUCAUGCAAGCAACGUAGCGCAGGAGUUGUUAUGAACGGCGUAUGGAAUAUGAAGUAAAGAAUCAAACCACAAAAGGAGACACACGAUUUACGUGGAAAACCCCUUCAAUGUGAAGGGGAAAAACCACGGGCACCAGCCGGCAACAAUCUCACUAUCUCAAGGGUUUAGGGUUACACGCCUAUGGCGGCUUACAAGAGAAUCUGAUAAUCUCUUUCUCUUCUGUCGUCCUAUCUCUAAAACCCUAGCAAGGGUGUAUGUAUAUAUAGAACCGAAACCCUAGACAGGGGUAUUGAGCUGUACGGACUCUUGGUCCCGUGCAAGGAUGGAACUCCUCCUCGUCCGACCUUGAGUCCUUCGUCCUGGAGUCGGAUGCGCCUGGGACUCCGCCUCGCCCGACCUCAAGCCUGGGGUCGGAUGCGCCUGACCCCUUGAGGGUCGAUCUCCGACUCGCCCGACCCCGAGUCCUGGGGUCGGGAGACGCUCCGACUCGCCCGACCCCAAAGUCCAGGGGUCGGGAGACGCUCCGCCUCGCUCGGCCCCGAGUCCCGGGGUCGGGAGAUUCUCCGCCUCGCCCGACCCUGAGUGUUAAGGGUCGGGAAGGUCGGCCUUUAUCCUGGAGUGAAUUUGGAACAACUCCAACAAACUCCACCUUGAGACAAAUUCAUCUUGUAUCAUCAACCCUUCAUCCUGAACAGAAUAAAGACAGGAAAAAAACCACUGGUGCCAACAAUAGUCUCUUGGACUAUCCAAUUAAACCAACUAAGCCUGAGCACAGCUCAAACUUAGUAAUAGGAACAGGCUUUGUCAUCAUAUCCGCAGGAUUAUCAUGAGUACUGAUCUUGCAUACCUUCAGCUUACCUUCUUCAAUCACAUCACGCACAAAAUGAUACUUGAUAUCAAUGUGCUUAGUUCUUUCAUGGAACAUUUGAUCUUUAGUGAGGUAAAUUGCACUUUGACUGUCACAGUGCAAACUUAUGCAAGAUUCAACUCCACAAAGCUCAGCGUACAAACCUUUCAGCCAAAUCAAUUCUUUGCACGCUUCACAAAUCGCCAUAUAUUCUGCUUCAGUAGUAGACAGAGCAACAACCGACUGUAAAGUAGCCUUCCAACUCACAGCACAACUGCCAACAGUAAACACAUAGCCUGUGAGUGCUCUUCGCCUGUCCAGAUCAGCAGCAUAAUCUGAGUCCACAUAGCCAACAAGACCCUCAUCAGUUCUUCCAAACUUUAAACAGGAAUUUGCUGUGCCUUUGAGGUAUCUGAAAAUCCACUGAACUGCCCUCCAAUGUUCUUUGCCGGGAUUAGACAUAUAUCUACUAACAAGACUCAUAGCAUAUGACAAAUCUGGGCGAGAGCAAACCAUGGCAUACAUCAAGGACCCAACAGCACUAGAAUAAGGAAUCUUUGACAUGUAUUUGACCUCUGCAUCUGUACUAGGACACUGAGCAGCAGACAACUUGAAGUGAGGUGCAAUAGGAGUACUUACAGCCUUAGCAUCUUGCAUGUUGAAACGCUGAAGAACUUUCUUGAUAUAAUUUUGUUGACUAAGAAAUAACAAACCAGAAUUUCGGUCUCUACUAAUUUCCAUACCAAGAAUUUUCUUAGCACUACCAAGAUCUUUCAUAUCAAAACCGCUACUCAAUAGCUUCUUUAACUUAUUUAUUUCAGUCUUACUCUUGGCAGCAAUCAGCAUAUCAUCAACAUAUAUCAGCAAGUAUAUAGGUGAUCCAUUAACAUGCUUGAUAUAAACACAGCUAUCAUACUUAGAUCUUUUAAAACUGUGUGAUAACAUAAAUGAAUCAAACCUCUUGUUCCACUGUCGAGGGGACUGUUUCAAACCAUACAAGGAUCUCUUCAACUUGCACACAUAUUUCUCCUUGCUAGGCACUAUGAAACCUUCUGGUUGGUCCAUGUAUAUGUCCUCCUCGAGUUCUCCAUGCAAAAACGCAGUCUUCACAUCUAACUGCUCAAGCUCAAGAUCAUGUGAAGCAACAACACUAAGGAAAGUGCGAAUUGAACUGUGUUUUACCACUGGAGAGAACACAUCAUUGUAGUCAACACCCGGAAUUUGGCUGUAGCCUUUAGCAACUAACCUUGCCUUAUACUUUGGAGGCUCACUUGGAGAUAAACCCUCCUUUCUUUUGAAGAUCCAUUUGCAGCGGAUGGCCUUCUUAUUCUUAGGCAAAGGUACAAGUUCCUAUGUACUGUUCUUCUCAAGAGAUUGCAUAUCCUCAUGCAUAGCCGAAAUCCAAUUUUCAGUAUCGCCACAAUGAAUAGCUUCUUUAUAGGUUGCUGGCUCAUGAACAUUCUCCACCUGUUCAGCACAACUCAAAGCAUGGUAAGACAAAUUACACUCUUCAAUGAGACGGUUAGGAGGGGCAACUGUCCUUUUGGACUUGCGGUGAGCAAUGGGUAGUUCCUCCUCUGGAGUUUGCUGGACAUCAUCAUGAGCAUCAGCCGACCCCGAGACUGAGGGGUCUGGCGCAUCAGCAACAUCCGACCCCGCCGUCAAGGGGUCUGGCGCAGCAACAUCCGACCCCGGAGCCAAGGGGUCUGGCGCUUGAGCAUCAGCCGACCCUGGAGCCAAGGGGUCUGGCGUAUCCGACCCCGAGACCAAGGGGUCGGGGUUAUCAGCAUCAUCACGAGCGUUCUCCACCUGCAUGCGCAUGCGCUGCAGUUCUUUGUCUGGAACUUGAUCUGAUGACAAGCUGUCAGUAAACAUCAUAGAUUCAUUGAAAAUAACACUUCUGCUCAUAAAGGUCUUUCCUGUUUCCGAGUUCCACAAUUUAUAGCCUUUGACACCCGAGCCAUAACCAAGGAAAAGACAUUUAACAGCUCUAGGCUCUAAUUUUCCAUUAUCAACAUGAGCAUAUGCAGUGCAUCCAAAAACUUUCAGCUGUGAGUAAUCAGCAUGCGUACCAGACCAUACCUCAAUGGGAGUUCUUUUAUUUAGUGGAAUAGAAGGCGACCUGUUGAUCAAGUAACAGGCAGUAUUAGCAGCUUCAGCCCAAAAACGCUUGCUCAUCCUGGCAUUAGACAGCAUGCAACGAGCCUUGGAUAUGAUGGAUCUGUUCAUGCGUUCAGCCACACCAUUCUGUUGUGGAGUAUGGGGUAUGGUGUGAUGCCUUACAAUGCCUUCUGAUCUGCAAUAAUCAUUAAAUUCACGCGAACAAAAUUCUCCACCAUUAUCAGUACGAAGCAAUUUCACCUUCCUUUCAGUUUGUCUUUCAAUCAUGACUUUCCAGUCCUUAAAAGCAGCAAAGGUAUCAUCUUUCUGUUUCAGAAAAUAAGGCCAAACCCUUCUAGAGUAGUCAUCAAUAAUUGUGAGCAUGUAACGAGCACCACCAAGCGAGGACUUACGGGAAGGACCCCAUAAAUCAGCAUGAAUAUAAUCAAGAGUACCUUUAGUGGUGUGAACAGAAGUGUUGAAACGUACCCUUUUAUGCUUCCCGAAAAUACAGUGCUCACAAAACUUCAUUUUACUCGAAGUGCAGCCAUCCAGUAGGUUUCUCCUUAUCAAUUCUGCCAUACCAUGGUGACUCAUAUGUCCCAGACGCAUAUGCCAAAGGUUAGUUUUACUAGGUUCCUCAUUAGUAACAGCAGCAACAGCGGAAUCAGAACCAGGUAAAGUACACCCUCUAAGGACAUAUAACUUUGCAGAAUUGAGAUCACCUUUCAAGCAGACAAGAUUACCUCUUGAUACCUUCAGAACACCAUCCGAACCAGAAUAUUUGUAACCUUUUGCAUCAAGCGUGCUCAAUGAAAUAAGAUUUCUGCACAUCCCUGGUAUGUACCUGUCGUUUUUCAGAGUGCGUGUCAUGCCAUCAUGAGUCUUGACCUGAACUGAUCCAAUCCCCACAAUAUCACACGGGCUAUUAUCUCCCAUCCGCACAACAUCCCCUUUUUGCACAGGCUUAUACGAGCUAAACCAAUUUCUGUUAAUGCAAAUAUGAAUGUGUCGUAGUUCAGCAGCGGUAGAUCAAACUUCAUCGACGUCGACAUGAAACCAAACAGCAACCAAGGCUCUGGUACCUCUUGUUAUGAACGGCGUAUGGAAUAUGAAGUAAAGAAUCAAACCACAAAAGGAGACACACAAUUUACGUGGAAAACCCCUUCAAUGUGAAGGGGAAAAACCACGGGCACCAGCCGGCAACAAUCUCACUAUCUCAAGGGUUUAGGGUUACACGCCUAUGGCGGCUUACAAGAGAAUCUGAUAAUCUCUUUCUCUUCUGUCGUCCUAUCUCUAAAACCCUAGCAAGGGUGUAUGUAUAUAUAGAACCGAAACCCUAGACAGGGGUAUUGAGCUGUACGGACUCUUGGUCCCGUGCAAGGAUGGAACUCCUCCUCGUCCGACCUUGAGUCCUUCGUCCUGGAGUCGGAUGCGCCUGGGACUCCGCCUCGCCCGACCUCAAGCCUGGGGUCGGAUGCGCCUGACCCCUUGAGGGUCGAUCUCCGACUCGCCCGACCCCGAGUCCUGGGGUCGGGAGACGCUCCGACUCGCCCGACCCCAAAGUCCAGGGGUCGGGAGACGCUCCGCCUCGCUCGACCCCGAGUCCCGGGGUCGGGAGAUUCUCCGCCUCGCCCGACCCUGAGUGUUAAGGGUCGGGAAGGUCGGCCUUUAUCCUGGAGUGAAUUUGGAACAACUCCAACAGGAGUAGCUGCUGAAAUCUUUUUGUGCUAAUGUUCAGAUGGCACUGAGCAUGUUUUGUCUCUUUAUCAGGUGCUAAUAGCAUGUCCUCUUCAUGCAUUCUACGUUUAUUUGUUUCACUUUGAUUUUUCUUUUCUGAAAUGUGAAUGCAUUAUCAACACUUGGUUAAUAGCUUUUGCAUGAUGUAAUAUCCUUCCAUCAAUGACUUGACUGCUUCUAUCCUGGAAGAAUAGGCAGAUACGAUUUUUGUCUGGAUCAUAUAAAAAUAAUGUUGUCCUUGUUUUUGUUCUUGUAGGAAUUUGGAUGGUAUUUCCUUUCUAAAACAUUGGCAGAGCGUGAGGCCUUUGCUUAUGUAGCAAAAACUGGACUGGAUGUUGUAACUGUUUGCCCAACAUUGGUCAUCGGACCAUUGAUGCAAUCUUCAAUUAGCACAAGCGUUAAAAUAUUUCUCAAUUAUAUCAAAGGUGGAUAUGGUUCAAUUGUUUCUAUUUAGUCAUUUAGUAGCGAGCCGAGAAAAGAGAAAAAUAGGAUGACAUAAAACUUAUUAUUUACAACAACUAGACGAAAGGACUCUAAUCACUUGACUGAUGCAGUCAUGCCUCACUCAGCCAAAAAACAAUUGGUUGUAAGUUGUAACAAAUGGUUCCUGCAUAAAGUAUUUCGCUAAAGUUACAGCGAUAGUUUGGGUUGAGAUUUUUCCUUUUCCUUUUCGAAAUGAUCAUAUAGCUUUUAUAUUUUAACUAAAAAGUGCAUAUAUUAAGCCAUUAAGGUAGUACCUCUCUGUUGCUUGUUUUGAAUAGAAAACAAUGAAGCAUAUCAAUCGAUCAUCCUAGUAUUUGAGUUUGGUGCUCUGUCUAUUGAAACAAACACUACCUUCUCUACUGCAACAGAUGAGGAGGAGUCCGUCGAACAUAAGUUUGAGCAUUUUGUGGAUGUUCGUGAUGUUGCUGAUGCUCUUCUGUUGGCUUAUGAAAACCCAAAGGCGUCUGGAAGGUACCUUUGUAGUUCAGCACCAAUAAGAGUCUCCGAUAUUGUAAACAUAUUAAAGAAUUCAUACCCAACGAACAACUAUCAAAAAAGUAUGUUCCUUUUCUCAGCAAGUGAUUUGGUCUGAUUUUAUCUCUGCAUAAAAAAAAGAAACACUAUAUGUUUUGCUAGAUUAUUCAAAUGCUUGCUUACAAUAUCCUUGUCAGUUGCAAUGCAAUGGCUUGCAGCUUUGUGGAAACAGAAAACAGCACCAGGUGUAACACGGAGAAGCUUGAGAAGCUAGGGUGGAGCUCCAGGCCUAUAGAGAAAACUCUCCAUGACAACAUCGAAAGCUGCCGAGCUCUUGGCAUCCUGAAUUAGCCUCCAACUUGGGGACCAUUUGGCCAUGGUGAGACUGAAUAAGCUAGAGAAGUAAUGAGUAGCUCAGGUAAGAGUAGUACCCUCCAGUUGAGGCCCACUCUGUCUGGGGUGCAGUUAUGCAUCACAGAAGAUGACAGAUAAACCGUUGUCAUCUUCUGCGGCUGGUCUGCAGCCUGAUUGGUAGGCCACGUGAUGAUUAUUAGGCUGUGCCGUUGAAAGAAUUGAGCGGGGUAAAAACUCACUAGAGUUGGUAAUGUCAUUCACGUGUAAGAGAGUCCGAAAACUAAAAAAGUCAUAACUCUUGAACCGGACCUUCAAAUCAAAUUUCGAUUGUACCAUUAAAUUUUUUAUAGCAAGAUGUUCAAAAUAAGACCCCACUUGAUUGUGUUUGGAGAAUAUUUUUAAAAAAUAUUUUUAAGAUACGGAUUAUUUAGUUAUGAAUACUGCGAACAAAUGCUUCAAUACCACGAACAAAUAACUAUUUUUGCGAACAAAAAAUUAAAUAUAUUUUUUGAGUUCGUAUAUUUUGUUCUAUGCGUAUGAUUUUUUUCCACGGGUUUGUAUAAUUUAUUCCACGUUAUAUGUCUCAUAGAAUAUGCUACCUUGAUUAAAAAAUAUGAAUAAAAACGUUCGUCCAAGUAUAGUCAAUUAGGAUCUUGUUGUAAAGCUUUUAUUGUCAAAAAUCCAAUAGUGCAAUCGGAAUUUAAUUUUGAUGAUCGGUGUAAGAUUUAUAGCUUACACGAUUGUGUUUCUUAUAAUAAAAUCUUCACAACAAGAUCCCACUUGACUAUAUUUUGAUGCAUUUUUUAUUCAUAUUUUUUUAAAUUAAGGUUGCAUAUUUUUUGCGAAAUACACGUGGAACAAAUUCUACGAAACUUAUGGAACAAAACAAUCAUACGUAUUGAACAAAUUAUACGAACUUGCAGAACAAAAACGAAUACCCACAUGCAUGAAAUUUUUGAAAUUAAAAAAAUCAAAAAUCAUAAACCAAACAUCCAAAUUUGAUUUCGAUUGCACCACUGUAUUUCUUUUGACAAAAUCUUGAAAACAAGAUCACAGUUGACUAUGUUUGGAUAAAAAAUUUUAUAACCAUUUUCUAAUAUAAAAUAUUAAUUUUGAUCAUAGUGAAUAAAUACUUGAAUAACUAGAAUAAAUAAUUAUCUAAUACGAACAAAUAAAAUAACACGAUGAGCAAAUGAUUAUAAAUAAUGAAUGAAAUACUGAACAUCAGAAAAAUAACAUGAUGCAAAUAAAAGAUAUGUACAAAUAAUAAUAUACUCAAACAAAAAAUUGAAAAUUUGAUAUUAUAAGAAAAAUAGUAGAAUAUGAGAGGAGUUGAUACUCCAAUCUCUUAAGACAAAUCUCAGUUUGUCUUCUCCUAAGGAUGGAGUAGUACUUAUGUGCCUUAUGAUUGCAAUUUCAAGCUAUCCUAAAAUAAGUAGACAUUUGUAUGAACUAGAAUAAACAUACAACUAGUGCGUAUUUCAAACAUACAACUAGUGCGUAUUUCAAACAGCUCAUCCUUUGGAUUUAUUCAAAUCAUCAGCCUAGCGAAAAAAAAGUCUAGGCUAUCAAAUAGACGAGUCUGCUUACAUUCUCGGACCAGUGGCUUUUGGAGAAGCUCUGAGUAAGAAACUAAGCAAUAACAACGACGACAGUAGAACAGAAUUUCCAGAGCCGCCUAUCCUAGGCUCAGAGAAAACCGACCAUCACCAUGGAGACGCCGGCGAACAUGACGACGGCCAGUCCGAAAGCCACCACCGGGUGACGGCGCCAACGGCGACGGCGUGGACGGCUGAGGAUGCGGCCACGAUCCCCAGCAUAGACGGUGCCCGUUCCCCAGCCCGUCGUCUUCACCGGACGCCUUCUUGGCUCAGCACCCGCGGACUUUUCAAUGCGAAUCUACACGAUCAGGAACACAAGUUAAAAAGGAUUCUCAAAAGACUUGGAGACAAUUUAAUUACCUGCAGCAGCAUGUCGCUGAUGCCGAUGAUCAGCGCGCCGGGGUGCGGGGCGCCGGGGUACUGCCCGUUGCUCAGCGCCUGCACGCAUGAUCCAACACAGAUUUUAAGCUUUGUUCUGCUGGAGUGAGUUCGUUCGCAGGCCUCAAGUCACUGAAAUGGAUGUUGAGGAGAUAAUUGAUCACCUGCAGCUGGUCGCCGAUGUUGAUGAUGAGCGCGCCGGACUGCGGGUUGACGGCGACCCACUUGCCGUCUUGGGGUUGUCCACGGCGUCCACCUGACUCUCUCAGCUUGCCGGUGAAGCCAGCAAUCAGACUUCACCGCCUUGGCACCUCUUGUGAGUCGUCUGGUGAACCAGUUGAAAGAUGAUGGAUAGUAGGAUAUCCAAGAGAGUUCAACUGUGCUGACAACACUACUAUCCGAAGUUCCGAACAGCAUGGAAUCAACAGUACUAUCCGCAGGCGUAUAAAUGUGAUGACAACAGUACUAUCCAAGAGAGUCAUGCCGGUGGAACGAGGAACCAAAAUCAGUAAAGAGUCAUGCCACCCGGUGGAAGCUGUUCAGUUCUCUCAUGCUACAUGACAAAAAGUGGUAGUACUGAUAGCCAAACCAUACUGAGUAACACAAAGUGGUAGUACUCUGAUAGGAUUGCAUUACAUGGCCAGAAGAGAGUAUUGCUCACAGACAGUACUGUCUUACAUCAUCUCUCAGAAGAGAGAGUACUGCAUUACAUGGCCAGAGGAAAGGACACUUGGACUAUAGUUGCGCAGCUUCAUUAUUUGAGCCCACACGGCAUGAGAAUGAUUCUACAUCAGCAAGCACACAGUAGCAGUAGUAGUAAGUGUACGAGAGACAGGGUGUGGUGAUUGUGAUUCUUCCAUUGGAGGUCGUUACUGCAUCAAUGCAUCUGGGAGAGGCCAAGAAUCCCAACGCUGAUCAGGGAGAGGCCGAGGAGGAGCAGAGCAAACAUGCCGAAGCAGAGCACCUGGCCUGCUUCGCCGGAGAUCGCCGUGACGGCGCAGGAAGCCAUCACGAGCCCCACGACGCCGAGGUUGCGACCAAGGAACUCUGCGAGAGCACGCGCCUCGGCCAACACUGCCGGGACGACGGGCGUCAGGGCGGCGUCGGAGAUCCGGAUGCCGACUACGAUGAUGUUGGCGCCGGCGAGAACCCCCGCGAAGCAGAGUAGCAAGCCGAAUCCGCCGGCGCCGGAGUUGAAUCCGGCGCUGACGGAGAACAGCAAGAUGGCGAGGCCGGCGAACAUCGCCGUGGUGCCCGGAGUGGUCAUCGUCGGCCGCGUGGCACCGCAGUCCCCUGCUUAAUUGGAGAGGGCCGUCGAGCGAGCAGGCGAGGCACCGCUGCACCGGGGAGGGAAGCGUUGCCGAAGAGGCGAAGAAUGCAGCGGGAGGAGGAGGAGAAGGAUCUGGGCGGUGCGCAGCGGACGGGGGAGCCGGAGGAGGCGAGGAGCGAGAUGGUUGGGGUCGGGGAGGCCCGGGAGGGCCAUUUAUACGCCUGCGCGGCCCCACCGUCCCCUCAUAUUAACGCAUAUCAUAUGUAGUUGUUGAAGGUACGAAGAGGUAGAGAAGGGUGCACUAUAAGAGAAGAGGUAGAGAAGGGUGCACUAUAAGAGAAGAGGUAGAGAAUACCCACCUAGGGAUCCACUCCCAUCCGGCGGCGCGCGCUGCCGUCGUGUCGUCGCCUGCAGCUCACUGGCGUCAAGGACAGCGCGUGGGCCCAGCCUCACGGAGUACAUCUGGAUGUUGACGCGCGAUGCUGCAGCGGCGGCCCGGCCCGACGGCUGGACAACAUCGCAUGUCAACCGCGCUGCGCACCGCAUGUCAACAUCGCAUGUCAACAUCGCAUUUCAAUUCAUUAAAGUAACAAAAACUUAUUUUCUACUCUCAAAACUUUUAGUCUAGCCAUCGCAUGUCAACAUCGCAUUUCAAUUCAUUAAAGUAACAAAAACUUAUUUUCUACCCUCAAAACUUUUAGUCUAGCCAAGCUAAACUUGCCAUACCAUAAUAUGAAGAUCCUCAAUAAAGAUGAAGAGAUUACGUAUUAUUUAACAUAUAUAGAAAAGAAUGUGAAUAUAUAAAAAAGAAUAUGUUAUGAGUAAAUUGCACCGGACUUGAAGGUGAGUCCUAUGAAAAGUCCUUAUCCUUAUCACACUGUACCUACCUGAUAACUAGCUGCAACUCUGAUCUGCAACUCUGAUGUAUAUUACUUAUGUAGGCACAUGUCAUCUAAGUAAAUGCAAUCGCAUGGGACAAGAAGUCUCAGUAGUUAAUAUUGUUCUUCUCUUUUAGAUGCAGUUUAAAUAUUGUUAGUAGAGAAUAACCUUCCUACGCAAGUUACUAUAGAUCUGGUUGAUCCACUGUUGCUUAUUAUCAGUAACUAUCAAAUAAGAACAGAUGCUGUGACAGUCCAAUUGCUAGUAAUUGUCUAGAUAAUACUGAAUAAUAAUGCGGUGCAAGUGUUACAUUUCAAUUGUGCACUAUAAAGAAAAGUUGAUAAUUAAAAUACAAAAUAUAGGCUGCCCGCCAAAAACACAAACACAUGAUUUACAACCUUAUAUAAGCAACUAAGGAAACCAAUAGAACAACCAAAAUGAAGACUUUACCAUUCUAUUUAAUCCAAUCUCGCAUACAUACGAGAGCCUCAAUUGUUUUGAUAUUCAAUGUGCUCCAUUGCUUAUGAAUCACCGGUCCCUCGCUGCUUAAUGCUGCCUCACCAUGCAUAGCAGAAGCAGGAAUUGCCAGGACGUCACGUGCCACAAUUGAGAGGAUUGGAUAACUUGUAGGAUUACUCAUCCACCAGUUCAGAAUAUCAAAAUCAUCCUUCCUUGGAACAAGUCCAUCUUCAAGGUAGUUCUUAAGUUCUAUCAACGCUAGGGUCCUUGUCUGCUCAUAAAUGUAUUUAUCCCAAUCUUCCAAUGUAUCCCUGUAAAAUCCACCCACUUGAACAACAGAAUUUGAUAUCUCAACACUUGGUUUAUCUAAUGCACUGCAAUAUUCAAGCAACAGCUCCCGGAUUGUAUCACGUACAGCAGACACACACUUUGCUGUGUCAGUGCCAAAAGCUUGUUUCAGACAGAACUCGAUAAGAGUAAGUUUGAAUCUGGGAUCAAGAACAACAGGUACUGACAACCACAAGUAUGAAUUCUGCCAAUACUCGUCGAAUGCUUCCUGCAUCUCCCAAACCAAGCCAGCAAGUUCAGUAUGAUUUGUAGAUGAUUCUUCUUCCAAGGUUGUCCUAAUUAUCCACAGUUCAUUGAAGUACCUAUUUGCUGUGGAACAGACAGGACCCGAAACUACUUCAAUGGCAUGAUAAAAAGCCCUUAAUAUCUUGCAAGCAGACUCAACAGUUUUAGUGUCUUCUGCAGAUAAGAAAUCUUGAGAGGAAAAUGUUUUCUUGAAAUGCAACACAACUUCGAGCCCAAAGUAAAUUUUGUGCCACCACUUUGCAUCUUCUUGGGGGCAUUUCAAUCCCAUAUGCGUAACUACUUCUAUAAGUAGCUCUUGAGUAAGCGCUGUGGACAUAUGUACCUGAAUAAAUCUCUCUAGUAUAUCAGCAACGAGAUGAAGCAGUGGUUGCCCCUUUGAAACAAUGUUGUUAAGCACAUCAUCCACGCAAGCAAUAUUGUAUAACUCACCUCCAAUAGGAAGGCAUUUCCUUUGACCGAGGAAGUCCUUGAGCUUUGAGGUACGCUCAUCGUUUCUAAUUUCGCUGACACAUGUCAAGCUGAAAAGCUUCUGAUCAAGAUUCCAGUCUCUUAUAGCUUCCCAUAUGAUGUUAAAUGGCCCACUCUCAGAAUCUAGUAUAGUAACCUCACUAAAUUGUAUCAUCCUAUCCAAAUUAGUGAGUGGCUGAAACAGACCAAACUUGAUGAUUCUCCUUUGAAGUUUCCAGUCUGAAUCAAUAAAAUGCACUGUCAAACAGAGAUACUUCACUGAGGCCUCAGCUCCAUGAGGAGUCCACAAAUAAGCUGAUAAGGAAACCCGAUGUGAUGCCCUUGAGGAACUUGCUAGCAUACUUUGCAAUCUGAACCAUACCAUUUGUCAAGGCAGGUGAAAGCUCAUCCUGAAGCCUAGACUUGGAACUUGGUUCACUGGACUGGGAAAAAACUCUUUUCUGAAGAUUUACGCUAGUUCUACCAUGGGCUGGACAAGUCUGACUAUGUCAGUUUAGUUGUCUUCUACUUUUAUCCACACUGAGUCGCUUGUGGCAAUGGACGCAUGCAGCUUCCUGGAUCCUCCCCUCAACAUAUAAUGGUAUAAAAUCUUUCCAUACCAUUGACCUGAUUUUUUUGUUGUCACUAUGAGCUACCAAGUUAAUGCCACCAUAUGAAUCUGUAAGAAUGUAGUCCAGAAGAUCUACAUCAUUCACCAGUAAUAUGCAUAAACAUUGAAUAAUUCAUCCAGAAAAUUAUGCAUAUUAUAUGAAGGACAUAAAAUGUGCGAAUAGCACACCCAAAUUUACACCAUACAAACCGACCAACAGCAAAAAUUAGUAUAUCAAUCAUUGUAACUGAACCAUGAGCUGUGUAGAAUCUAAUUUAUGCCCCUCCACUUUGCAAUAAUUGUCCAAAUUUACCAUGUACGCCAACCAACUAUAUACCAAACACUUGAUCUCUUUUGCAACAUUAAUGUAGGGUUAAUAUGUUGAAACAUUGUACUUUCUAUAUUUUUAUUCCACCAUAUGACAGUCAUUGUGCAAAUAACUAAGUGCUGGGCAUAAUACAAACAAAUUAUACAAGGUUCAUAAUUUCCAUACUAAUUGCAAAUGAAGAGGAAAAUACUAGAAAUCCCCACCAAAGGAAACAAAAUCUAAAGAAAUCAUCAAGCAGGAUCAUAACUCUACAACUGUGGCUAUUUAAGUUCAAAUUUAUCCUAUUGCGUAAGAGUUACUCAGUAACUAAAAGCAUACCAUAUCAAAACUCUGCAUCCUGUUGCUGCUGGCUUGUAGCCAAUCUCUCCUUCCCUGGGCAGAUUUCCUGGUGUUGAUACAAAGAGUCACUUUGACAGCUCAAGUGAACAUGGCAGUAUCGGCAUUCCACUCUAUCAACCACUCCGUUUUCGCACACAGGCUUGUAAUCAUCCCACAGCUUAGCUAUCUUAUUUCUGAAUCUGGAUUGACCAAUAGAAGCAGCCCCUGCUUGCGUAUCAUCACUGAUAUGCUCAUCCAACAGGUCCAUAACUGCAGAUAACAAUACGACAUUAUCAGCUUUCUUGACAGGGCGUAGUUAAGAUGCAACCUUGAUUCCAACCAGAAAAGGAAAUGCUUCACACAAUGCAGGAGCGGCAAUAUCUCUACAGACGGCUGGAGUGCUGGACAUAUCAGAAAAACAAUUCGCACAGACAAACAAACAGUAGGUGCAGAUGUGCAUGCAUUGAUCAUUAAGAGAAAGACCCAAAAAAAAACUUUUAGUUCUCCCAAAAUUGCUGGGUCCGAGAAUUGAUCCCACGACCUCUUGCUUGCUAUCGAAAGGUAACACCUGUUCUCCACAACACUAACACGCGCCCUGCCGCUCCAAUUUCUUGCAACUUCUAAGCCCGCAGAGCCGCAAGCAACUAAAACGGUAGCCAAUACCUAGCAUUCCCCGCACCACUACUCCCCAAGCGAAGACUGCAACUUUCUGGCCCAAAACGAACAAGAACACCAGCUACUGCAGUGCCCGCCCAUUCGCAGACACAAACAACACCAGGCAAGCAAUUCGUUCCCCCCAAAAAUUCAGGAAAUAAAAAGCAACAGUAGCGAGAGGAGGAUCGCAUCACUUACUGGUUACUGCUCGCCGGGAACUCAGAAAAGGAACAUCAUCGAAGAAAUGGAAUGCGCAAUGGCACUCGGGAAGUCGGAAUGCUUCCGAGGAAGUGCGCUGGGGAAUUGGAGGAGGGAGGAGACGGGGAGCAGAGUGGAGGGCUGAUCGGGGUGGGUUCGGUGGUGCAGCACCUCGAAUAGUUCCCAAAAAAAUUCUUCCCCAAAACGAGGUAUUGGGAGCUAUGCUAAAAAAAAUUUCCCCAAAAAACAUAUCAGCCCACAGAUGAACGCUAAAAACUAGCUCCUCAAUAUUUCAAAACACAUCAUGUCAUCGUAUUGGGACCAUUAGUUGAGCUGCCCACCUGCCCACCUCCCCCUCGUGAUCUCCAGCGGCGCGGCCAGGAGCUCACGUCGCCGAAGGAUUUUUCACGCCGGCAGGAACCCACAUCACCAGGAGGUCACGAUCAGGUUUGUGCCAUGGAGCUCAUCCUCUACUGAAAUACAUACACCUCGCUCGCUGUUGCUGCUUCCGCUUCGCGCUCGUGCUGCUUCCGCUGCCUGCUGAAUUAUUUCUCUCUCCCUCCUCUUCUUGCGUUUGUGUACUGUUGGUGUGUUUGUGUACUACUGUUGGUGUGCAGCCGAAGCCGUCCGGGCGAGCCAAUAGUUGCGUCACGAUCAGGAAUACAUUAAACCUUGAAAACAUCCAAAAUGUACCCUAAAGAGAACCAUAGACUUGCAGUAGGCAGGUAUUGCUCUGCUCCAUAUUUUGGUUCCGGUAGCCUGCUACUGACUUGCAUGCAGAACCAAUCACUCUUCUAUAUCUCUGUCUCUAACCUCACAGAAAGUGAAGGAGAUGAAGCUUGGAGGGCCAACUGUGUCCACUAAAAAGUUGAGCCUUAAAAUGGACUAGGAACUAAUUCUUGUAGUUUUAUGCUCAAAUGAUGAAAAUUCUUAUUCACAGAAUCAGUUAAAUGUGUAAUAUUUUGAACCAAAGAUGAAGACUUAAACAUUAACUGUAAGUUAUGACUUAUGAGCCAAUUCAGGAAAAAGAGAUGGUAUAGCAUUCAUAAUCAGCACAUCAUGAACAAUAAGGUUGGAGGGAACAUGCCACUGCGUUAAGUGAAGAAUAAUGCACAUGGAUAGCAGGACGUACGUGUCAUUGUUCCAAAUAAUAGUUCUAGGUACAUUGAGAACCUAAAUCUACACAUGCACUACAAUCUAGCAGAAACCAAGGGUAAGUAUAUUUGAUUAUUGCCCAUUCUCCCAUUUGUUAAGACUUAAGAACAUAAAGGUGAGGGUCACUUUUUCAGUAGAAAAUUCAAGAAGAACUUGUAUUGCAGUGAACAACAGUUUUCUGAUUGGCAUAAAAAAGAAAUAGUACUAAUAUUAAUCUCAGAUCAAGUAUAUGAAAACUUUCCUUGUUAUCAAUUAGCAUGACAGAUAAAAUUCCAGUACGAGCCUAAAGGCAGGAUGAUACAUUGAUACUAGAAGCCCCGAAGAUGUACAGCUCGAGGUUCGAAUUCUGAUGAAAUUGAGCUAGUAUGACUAACAAAAUUCCGGUGAAAUUGAGCUAUGAUGACUACAUGAUCCGAAUAUGGCUACAUCAAGAGCUCAACUUGGUCCCUCUUUACCUACCUGCACACGGGACGCCACCGCCACUUCCGCCGCGGCGGCCGGCCAGCGGCAGCGGAAGAGGUGCUCCCAGACGCAGUCGGCGUCGCAGGUGGUGCGCCAGAAGCGCAAGCAGCCGCCGAGCGCGCGCACGUCGGCCUCCUGCGCGCGGUUCGAGCCAGCGGAGUCAACGGGAGAACCACGGAAAGCCACACGUCGGUUCCUACGCGCCGGGAGAGGAGGGGGUUGGAGAUGGCCGCCGCCGCCUCCUGGAACCGGCGUCGGGAGGAGAGGAAUGGGCCGGAAAGGGGCGCGCCGGAGUGGGGAGGGCCGCCGCCGGGAGAGGAGGGGGCUGGAGAUGGCCGCCGCCGCCUGGAACCGGCGCCGGGCCCGGGAGGAGAGGAAUGGGCCGGAGGGGGCGCGCCGGAGUGGGGAGGACCGCCGCCCCUCGCCCCGCGGCGCUGUCGCCCCUCGCCCCACCGCUGCCGCUGCGCGCGCGGGAAGAGGCCGCGCGGGAAGGCUGGUCUGCUCGCGAGCGCGGGAAAGGGCAGCUCAGCGCGCGGGAAUCGCGAUCGGGGGGGGGGGAGCGCUGGUGGAGAAAGGCGAACACGAAAAUAUAUGCGGUGACCGGCUUAAAGAAUUAGGAAUGUUCAGGAACCGUUGAAUUUGUUUUUUUAUUUUUUUCUAAAGAAAAUAUUAGAAUAAGAUUAGCAGUCUUCUGGAGUGAGUUGUUGACCUCGAUGGACCGGCUGGUGGGGUCAGGUCGCGAGGAGCCCGACCCAGUUCAUGAUCUGGGCUGAAACGGGCUGUUUAUGUGCUACUGGUCACUUACUGGGCCUUCGGCGCAUUAGAAAUUGGGCUGUGUUUCCCGACGAACUGGGUCCGAAUAGGCUGUGCGGCCCGUCGUCCCUUUGGGGCAACGGCACAACCAUCUUUUUUUUUAAAGCUCUUUUUGCGAAAUAUUCUCACAAAUAUGCUACUGGGGGAACCAAUUCCAAAAAUGGACCCUUAGCUUGGCGCCAUCCACGCUGACGCCAAGCUUACACAUCUCGACGCCAGGCAUCCUGGCGCCAAGGUCCAUGCGCAGCUGCUGAUGUGGAAUCUGACGUGGCGGGGGCUUGGCGCCAUCCACACUGGCGCCAAGCCUCGGCGCCGUGGAUCUUGGCGCCAAGCUUGGCGCCAUCAUGAAUGGCGCUUGGCGCCGUGGAUCUUGGCGCCAAGCUUGGCGCCAUCAUGAAUGGCGCCGAGCAAUUUUCCCUCCUGGCGUUUCGAACGAGAAACAAGUAUAAUUAUUCCGAGGAGUGUGCAACAAACUACACUCUAGUUCAACUGGUUAGGAUGUGGGCUUCUUAUCCUAAACACAUGAGUUCUCAAACCCUUGUGUUGAAUCUUUUUUCCUACAUUUUUUUUAAUCAACAUGCAUGAUGGAUUUAUAGUUCGUUACCCAUGUCUGAGAUCAACCACUCCAAAAAAAAUGACCGGGUCAGUUCUUCACCUCUUACUAUUUUUGAGACAGGUAAGCCUAAUCCUAGGUACGCGGUUUUGAACUGUUGAUCAGCCUGGACCAUGCAUGCGNNNNNNNNNNNNNNNNNNNNNNNNNNNNNNNNNNNNNNNNNNNNNNNNNNNNNNNNNNNNNNNNNNNNNNNNNNNNNNNNNNNNNNNNNNNNNNNNNNNNUGAAUCAGACAAGUAGGCCACUACUAGGUACGCGCUACGUAACUAGAACAGAGUGUCACAUGACAGCAUAUGUUACUUACAGUGCUACUCACGUGACUGUCUGAGACCUGUGCAUUUAGUCGAUCUAGCUACGAGUCGAUCAACAGCUAAGUGCCUCGCGGAAAUGGUACAGCUCGCAAUGAGUAUUCUCCAUGCAGACUUACGUACAAAAUCAUUUUUAUACCAAUUAGCUAAAAAAAUAAAAUGUAGGAAAAAAGAUUCAAUAGAGGGGUUUGAAACUCAGAUCUUUAGGAUAAGAAGUCUAUGUUCUAACCAGUUGAACUAGAGUGUAGUUUGUUGCACAUUUCUUGGAAUAAUUAUACUUGUUUCUCGUUCGAAAUGCCAGGAGGCAAAAUUGCUCGACGCCAUCCAUGCUGGCGCCAAGAUCCACGACGCCAAGGCUUGGCGCCACCAUGGAUGGUGCCAAGCCCCCGCCUCGGAUUCCGCAUCAGCAGCUACAUAUGGACCUUGGCGCUAGGAUGCCUGGCGCCGAGACGUAUAAGCUUGGCGUCAGCAUGGAUGGCGUCAAGCUAAGGGUCUAUUUUUUGAAUUGGUUCCGCCAGGGGCGUAUUUGUGAGAAUCUUUCGCAAAAAGACUAAAAAAUAAAAAAGUCAGAUGGCACAACAUGGAUUCGGGCCGCACCGCGAUUCGGGCCCAGCUGGAUGUCGUUUAAAUUCAAGUUGAGAUUUUGCAGGGGAACACACCCAGUACGCCACGAUAACAUAGACAGAAUAUCAAAUGACUUCUCAGGUUAAAGCAGCAGCACUUCAUUCGCACUGUACAAAUAAUCUGCACCAGAAGCCUAACAAAAUCCUAGGCAACAAUGCAUAAUACUUGUCAACACCUAGAAGCUCUCCCUUUUAGCUUCUGCAAUACACACUCACGGGGAAAGAUUCGCUCAAAUAUACAAGCACAUACCAGUGGCUGCAAGAUGUUGGCCAGUGCACUCUUUUCUGAUAUCAUCCUAGGUUCCUGAGUUAGAAGCACCAUGGUUAUGAACUGCUUGAAAUCUUCUGUUGAUAAUUAAAAAUAAGGAAGCAUGCUAUCAGCUGUCAGCUUAUUGGUAGUUAGCAGCAGCAUGAUAAAUGGGCUGUGCAAGGAACCACUUGUCCCCCGAGAGCGUCCAGUGUCACGAAUAUUUCUAUUCCGCGCAAUACAAGCAAUUUAACACCAACCCCCCCUCUAUUACUCGUAGUUGCAUUAUUGGCAUGAUGCUAAAUUGACAAUACAAAUUUUUCGAUAAGGAUAAAGUGCAUAAUGUUUCAAAUUUUCGCUCCAUUACUUGUAUUUACAUAUUGUUUCGUAAAGGGAAAUUCAUCGUGACUAAAUUGCAUCAUAGGCACAGUGACUAGCAAGGUAAGGUCUAUGACAAACCCCUGACAUCCUUGAUCUGCAAGCCUGCAAUGCAUACUUUUAGUUGAGAAUGCAUGCUCACCAUAACAGAAAUACAGUAUUCAUACUUUUAGCUGAGAACAGGGGCGGAACCAGGAUGAACACCUGGGGGGGCUAAAUAGUAAAGAUUAAGAGCUAGGACUAGAAAUUAAUUGUGAUUUGAGACUUUAUCUACAGUAUUUUACAGGUAAAACAAGGCUCUCGGGGGGGUGCAGCCCCCUAGCCCUCCCCUUGGAUCCGCCCCUGGUUGAGAACAAGGGUUUUGCUAAGGUACUCCCAAAUGACUGUGGACCGUUGAUCUAAUAACAUAUUACCUCAUAGGAAGUAAUAUUAUAUCUAUUUUUUGAAUCUGAAAAUAGGAAAAGUAUUUUUCUAUUAGAUCUAACUUCCACGAUUGUACUAUAUCAUAUCUAAGUUUCUUUUUUGCCUCCCACGUGAACAUGGAUGGCGGUUCUGGUUCAAAAAACAAGAGAGAGAAGAACAUGACACCUUUAUGUGACAUGGAUCCGUUCGAAAAAAAUGUGACAUAAGUCAAGUAAAUGUGUUGCACGGAGAAAUGUGUCAUGGCCAUCUCUUUUUUUCCCCAUGCGGAUGCAGAUGUUUCGUUUCAAAGAAGAAAUGCAGAUGCAGAUGUUUCGUUUCAAAGAAGAAAUGCAGAUGCAGAUGUUAAAUUGCAUGUCAUAUGGAGAUGUUCAAGUAAACAUGAAGAUGUUCAAGUAUUUUUUUUUCUCCAUCCAGAUGCGGCCGUGUGUUCUGUUAAAAUGUUAUGACUUCGGUUGCAACUAAAAGAAAAGAAAUUGCAUGUUCACAUGCAGAUGUUGGACCUGUUCCUCCGAUCCUAAAUUGAAGGAAGCCGUGAUAAUGGGGAGCCGGUUGUUUCUUUUUUUUGUUGCUUUUUUAAUAUUUAAGGGCCUCAUUAGGUAAUCGGUGCACUGUAGCAUUGCCCUGAGAACAAACCUUUUUUCUGUAAGCUACUGCAGAUCCUACUGAUUUACUGGUGUUUAUCUUUCAGUAAUUAUUCUAGUGAUGCAGUUUCAAUAUUUUUAGUUGAGAGCAAACCCCUUGUUUGACCUAAGGCAGAUCCUAUUGAUUUACUGAUGUUUUUCCAGUAACCAUCUAGUAAGAAAAAAUGGAUGCUGUGAUGGUCCUAUUGCUACUAAUUGUCUAGCUAAUAAAAUAUGAUAAUGUGAAUGCUCCAACUCCAACAGUGCAAAAUUUUAUUGAGAACUGACAUGCCAAAUAUAAACAAAAAUUCUCUGAAGGACCACAAUAUUCAUGGAACAGCUCCCUUAUUGCAUCACGCACGGCAGAUACAUACUUCUCUGCAUCAGUACCAAAAGCUCGCUUUAGACGGAACUCAACAAAAGUAAUUUUGAAUCUCGGAUCAAGAACAACAGGUAUUGACAGCCACAAGUAUGAACUUUGCCAAUACUCAUUGAACGCUUCUUGCAUCACCCAAACCAUGUUAGCAAGUUCAGUGUGAUCAGAGGAUGCUUCUUCUUGCAAAGUUGUUCUAACUUUCCAUAGUUCAUUGAAGUAUAUAUUUGCUGUGGGGCAAACAGGACCAGAAAUUACUUCAACAGCACGAUAAAAACCCCUCAGUAUCCUGCAAACAGAUUCCACAGUUUUACUAUCUUCUGCAGAUAACAAUUCUUCUGAGGGGAAUGCCUUCUUGAAAUGCAGAAAAACUUCAAGCCUGAAGUAAAUUUUAUGCCACCAUUUCGCAUCCUCCUGUGGGCACUUCAAUCCAAUAUGUGUAACAACUUCUAAAAGUUGCUGCCGAGUCAGCGAUGAGGACAUUUGUACCUGAAUAAAUUUCUCUAGUAUGUCACCGACAUGGUGAAGCACUGGUUGCCCUUUUGAAACAAUGCUGUUAAGCACAUCAUCCACACAAGCAACAUUGUACAGUUCACCUCUAAUAGGAAGGCAUUUUCUUUGGAUGAGCAAGUCCAUCAGCUUUGAGGUACCCUCAUCCCUUCUAAUUGCAUUGACAGAUGUCAAGCUGAAAUGCUUCUGAUCAAGAUUCCAAUCUCUUAAAGCUUCCUGUAUGACAUUAAAUGGACCACUAUCAGAAUCCAGUACGCAGGCCUCCUUAAAAUGUAUCAUCCUUUCUAAACUAGUAGGUGAGGACCAAAACACACCAAAUUUGAUGAUUUUCCUUAAGUUUACAUUCAGAAUCAAUAAAAUGCACUGCCAGACAGAGAUACUUCACUGAGGCCUCAGCUCCAUGAGGAGCCCACACACUUGCUGAUAAGGAAACCCGAUGGGAUAAAAGAGCAAUCUUUUUCCUUUAGAUCAGUCUUUUCUUUCUGAAAUAAAAGAGUUGAAUACUCUUCUAUAUCAAUGCUCGAAGCCAUGUUAAAUGCAGGGUUCAGGCUCUUUGCAAACCUUUUCAUUUCUUCAUGUUCCACAAUUGACAAGGGAUAGCCAUGUUCCACAAUUGACAAGAGAUAGCCUGAUCAUCAUGUUGCUCGAUGUCGGCGCAGGCAUCAACUUCGGCGACUGCGACGGAUUAUCUGGCCCAACAUGAUCGCCGCCGGCGUCAGGACGGCCGACGACCCAGCAGCACCCAUCGGCCCCGCGCUCGCAGGGUUCGCCGGUGCACGUGCGUUCAUGCGGCGCAACCUCGCCGUCGUGGGGCUCGUCAUGGUAUCCUCUGCUUUCACAGCGGUUGACAGGCCCGGCGUUCUCCUUCAUGAUAUUUGUCCUGCUGGUGUUCGGAGUCUCUGUGAUCAACAUCGGAGUCCAUGGUGCCUUAUGAAAGCAAUUUCAAGCUAUCCUAAAAUAAGUAGACAUUUGUAUAAACUAGAAUAACCAUAUAACUGGUGCGUAUUUCAAACAGCUCAUCCUUUGGAUUUAUUCAAAUCAUCAGCCUAGCGAAAAAAAAGUCUAGGCCAUCAAACAGACGAGCCUGCUUACAUUCUCGGACCAGUAGCUUUUGAAGAAGCUCUGAGUAAGAAACUGAGCAAUAACAACGACGACAGUGGAACAGAAUUUCCAGAGCCCGCCUAUCCUAGACUUAGAGAAAACCGGCCAUUGCCAUGGAGACGCCGGCGAACAUGACGACGGCCAGUCCGAAAGCCACCACCGGGGUGACGGCGCCAACGGCGACGGCAUGGACAGCUGAGGAUGCGGCCACGAUCCCCAGCAUAGAUGAGAGGCUGCCACGACCGCGACGGUGCUCGUUUCCCCGCCCGUCGUCUUCACCGGACGCCUUCUUGGCUCCCGGUGAAGCCAGCAAUCAGACUUCACCGCCUUGGCACCUCUUGAGUCGUCUGGUGAACCAGUUGAAAGAUGAUAGAUGGUAGGAUAUCCAAGAGAGUUCAACUGUGCUGACAACACUACUAUCCGAAGUUCCCAACAGCAUGGAAUCAACAGUACCAUCCGCAAAUGUGCUGACAACAGUACUGACAACUAUCCAAGAGAGUCAUGCCGGUGGAACAACGAGGAACCAAAAUCAGUUAAGAGUCCUGCCGCACGGCAGCCACCCGGUGGAAGCUGUUCAGUUCUCUCAUGCUACAUGACAAAUUAUUUGUCCAAAACGUCAUCUUAUUCUGAACAGAGAUAGCAUGUAGCAGAUUCUUAGUUGAUUAGCAUUUCCUAGGACAAGAAUAAUUUUAGGAAACUUGCAAACAGAUACUCAAAACAUCACGCUUUCAUCAAACUAUGCACGUGAUUGCAUUUUAUCCAAUGCUGACACAUAGUUUUUUUUUUUGAAGAAACAGGAGGGGAGGGUCCCUACUGGUUAUACGAGAGCGAAGCAAAAGGGAAAACAGAAAAGAAAACAUACUACAAGGUGUGCAGCCUGUCAUUAUUUGUCUUACAUCAUCUCUCAGAAGAGACAGUAUGGCAUUACAUGGCCAGAGGAAAGAAGGACACUUGAACUAUAGUAGCGCACAUUCAUUAUUUGAGCCCACACGGCAUGAGAAUGACAGCAAGCAGGAGGCAGCAGCAGCAACAGAUACUCAAUGCAUCUGGGAGAGGCCAAGAAUCCCAACGCUGAUCAGGGAGAGGCCGAGGAGGAGCAGAGCAAACAUGCCGAAGCAGAGCACCUGGCCUGCUUCGCCGGAGACCGCCGUGACGGCGCAGGAAGCCAUCACGAGCCCCACGACGGCGAGGUUGCGACCAAGGAACUCUGCGAGAGCACGCGCCUCGGCCAACACCGCCGGGACGACGGGCGCCAGGAUGCCGACGGCGACGAUGUUGGCGCCGGCGAGAACCCCCGCGAAGCAGAGCAGCAAGCCGAAUCCGCCGGCGCCGGAGUUGAAUCCGGCGCUGACGGAGAACAGCAAGAUGGCGAGGCCGGCGAACAUCGCCGUGGUGCCCGGAGUGGUCAUCGUCGGCCGCGUGGCACCGCAGUCCCCUGCUUAAUUGGAGAGGGCCGUCGAGCGAGCAGGCGAGGCACCGCCGCACCGGGGAGGGAAGCGUUGCCGAAGAGGCAAAGAAUGCAGCGGGAGGAGGAGGAGGAUGAGCUGGGCGGUGCGCAGCGGACGGGGAGAGCCGGAGGAGCGAGAUGGUUGGGGUAGGGGAGGCCGGGGAGGGCAUUUAUACCGGGGAAGGGGAGAGGUAGCCGGGCUGGGACGAGGCCUAAAGGUGGCAACGGACAUUAGUUUUAUACCGAGAGGUGGCCGGGCCGCCGGCCCGCCGGGUGCAAAGUCUGAUAAAUGAUGCGUGGGGUCCGCCGUGGUGUCGACAACCCUCACCUGCCGCCUGGGCGUAGGAAGUGUUAAGGAAGUAAGCAAUUACUAGCCAUACACUAUUAAGAUAUAACAUAUUUUUCAAAGAGUAUAAAUAAUUAUAUAAUUUUCUAGAUUUCAAGUGUUCAACAAAUAGGCUCAAACAAUACAUAGAAUAUUGAAGGUAGAAAAGUACUAAAUUAAGAGUCUUUCAUGAAAAAAAAAGAACUAUACAUGUCUUCAUGAAUUAACACCACUUCCACUUGUUCCGACGACCUCAAUUCCACAUAAAAAUUUUCAACAUCUCAGCCCUAUAACAUUAUGUAUUGAAAUAGACUAACACAACACAAGUAAACAACACAACAACACGCACCAUGUUAAUACUAAUUACUACCGGGAUAUUUGAUUCUUAUUUAUAGUGACGAUUAUAUGUCUCUGAAGGAUAUUUGAGAUUUUUUUGUUUAUAUAAGUUUUUUUAAUACUGCCAUGUUGGGGUUGAUUACUGUUCCAAUUUGAUACAAAUUUAUUUUCUGGGAACUUGUCGGAAUAUGUUCCUAAUUUAUUGAUAGGCUUUUGGUUUAGACGGACAAAUUGCAGCUCUCGUUUCUUAAACCUUGAAAGCGCUUUUGAAUGCGGCUGGAGAUUCCCACCGUCGUGUCGUGUCGUGUCGGCAACCGAUGAGAUUGGAUUCAUAUCAUAUUGUUGCGGCCGCACUGCUUCGGAGGAAGUUGAAGAAUUGGAGAAGAAGGUAACGGACACUGGCCGGGCCGCCGUGGUGUCCAGUGGAUGUUUGGGAGGAGAGGGGUAGAGGACUAUGUAUAUCAUAUUGUUAUUGAUGCCACACUUCGUGGGAAACUCUGGGCAUCCCACAUGCGUUCUCUGAAACUCUGAAUAAAAUAUGAUUAAACCAUCCGGCGGCGCGCGCUGCCGUCGUGUCGUCGCCUGCAGCUCACUGGCGUCAAGGACAGCGCGUGGGCCCAGCUCACUGUUGACGCGCGAUGUUGCAGCUCGAGUGAACAUCGCAGUAUCGGCAUUCCACUCAGUUCAGGUCGAUGGACUGGCUGGUGGGGUCAGGUCGCGAGGACCCCGACCCAGUUCAUGAUCUGGGCUGAAACGGGCUGUUUACGUGCUACCGGCCACUUACUGGGCCUUCGGCGCAUUAGAAAUUGGGUUGUGUUUCCCCACGAACUGGGUCCGAAUAGCGGCACAACAUGGAUUCGGGCCCAGCUGGAUGUCGCUUUCCUCUCGCCUGGAAACCUCGAAUGGACACAUUUCCUAGCUGGCGCCAUUCACAAAAUGCAAUAUGAGUGCCUUAAAAUUCAAGUUGAGAUUUUGCAGUACGCCACGAUAACAUAGACAGAAUAUCAAAUGACUUCUCAGGUUAAAGCAGCAGCACAUCAUUCGCACUGUACAAAUAAUCUGCACCAGAAGCCUAACAAAAUCCUAGGCAACAAUGCAUAAUACAUGUCAACACCUAGAAGCUCUCCUUUUUAGCUUCUGCAAUACACACUCCCGGGGAAAGAUUCGCUCAAAUAUACAAGCACAUACCAGUGGCUGCAAGAUGUUGGCCAGUGCACUCUUUUCUGAUAUCAUCCUAGGUUCCUGAGUUAGAAGCACCAUGGUUAUGAACUGCUUGUAAUCUUCUGUUGAUAAUUAAAAAAAAAGGAAGCAUGCUAUCAGCUGUCAGCUUAUUGGUAGUUAGCAGCAGCAUGAUAAAUGGGCUGUGCAAGGAACCACUUGCCCCCAGAGAGCGUCCAGUGUCACGAAUAUUUCUAUUCCACGCAAUACAAGCAAUUUAAUCCCCCCCCCCCCUCUAUUACUCGUAUUUGCAUGAUGCUAAAUUGACAAUACUAAAGUGCAUACUGUUUCAAAUUUUCCCUCCAUUACUUGUAUUUACAUAUUGUUUCGUAAAGGGAAAUUCAUCAUGACUAAAUUGCAUCAUAGGCACAGUGACUAGCAAGGUAAGGUCUAUGACAAACCCCUGACAUCCUUGAUCUGCAAGCCUGCAAUGCAUAUUACUCUAUCUUUUCCAAGUUCAGAGAAUGCAUGCUCACCAUAACAGAAACACAAUAUUCAUACUUUUAGUUGAGAACAAGGGUUUUGCUAAGGUACUCCCAAAUGACUGUGGACCGUUGAUCUAAUAACAUAUUACCUCAUAGGAAGUAAUAUUAUAUCUAUUUUUUAAAUCUGAAAAUAGGAAAAGUAUUUUUCUAUUAGAUCUAACUUCCACACAUGAUUGUACUAUAUCAUAUCUAAGUUUCUUUUUUGCCUCCCACGUGAACAUGGAUGGCGGUUCUGGUUCAAAAAACGAGAGACGAACAUGACACCUUUAUGUGACAUGGAUCCGUUCGAAAAAAAUGUGACAUAAGUCAAGUAAAUGUGUUGCAUGGAGAAAUGUGUCAUGGCCAUCUCUUUUUUUCCCCAUGCGGGUGCAGAUGUUUCGUUUCAAAGAAGAAAUGCAGAUGCAGAUGUUUCGUUUCAAAGAAGAAAUGCAGAUGCAAAUGUUAAAUUGCAUGUCAUGAGGAGAUGUUCAAGUAAACAUGAAGAUGUUCAAGUAUUUUUUUUUUCUCCAUCCAGAUGCGGACUGUUAAAAUGUUAUGAUGUCGGUUGCAACUAAAAGAAAAGAAAUUGCAUGUUCACAUGCAGAUGUUGGACCUGUUCCUCCGAUCCUAAAUUGAAGGAAGCCGUGAUAAUGGGGAGCCGGUUGUUUCUUUUUUUUUGUUGCCUUUUUUAAUAUUAAGGGCCUCAUUAAUUUGAACUCUUACCUCCUAGGAGGUAAUCGGUGUACUGUAGCAUUGCCCUGAGAACAAACCUUUUUUCUGUAAGCUACUGCAGAUCCUACUGAUUUACUGGUGUUUAUCUUUUCAGUAAUUAUUCUAGUGAUGCAGUUUCAAUAUUGUUAGUUGAGAGCAAACCCCUUGUUUGACCUAAGGCAGAUCCUAUUGAUUUACUGAUGUUUUUCCAGUAACCAUCUAGCAAGAAAAAAUGGAUGGUGUGAUGGUCCUAUUGCUACUAAUUGUCUAGCUAAUAAAAUAUGAUAAUGUGAAUGCUCCAACUCCAACAGUGCAAAAUUUUAUUGAGAACUGACAUGUCAAAUAUAAACAAAAAUUCCAAUAAAAAGGAGUAUCUUUAUAAAAAUUAAAUAAGCAAAGAAGGAAACCAACGGAACGACCAAAGUGAAAAUAUUACCUUUCUAUUUAAUCCAAUCUCGAGUACAUACAAGAGCCUCAAUUGUUUUGAUAUUUAAUGUGCUCCAUUGCUUAUGAAUCAUAUUUCCCUCACUGCUCAAUGCAGCUUCACAAUUAACAGCAGAAGCUGGCAUUGCCAGGACAUCACGUGCCAUAAUUGACAGAGUUGGAUACUUUGUAGAAUUAUUCAUCCACCAGUUCAGAAUAUCGAAAUCAUCCUUUCUCGGGACAAGACCAUCUUCAAGGUAGUUGUCAAGUUCUGUCAUUAGUUGGCUCCUUGUCUGU